GAAACAGAUCUUAUACUGACCUUCAAUAUCUCAAUGCACCGUUCUUGGUGGAUGGAGAAUGGGCCAGGCUGCACAGUGACAUCUGUGACCCCAGCCCCAGACUGGGCACCGGAGGACCAUCGCUACAUCACUGUCUCAGGUUGUGUUCUUGAAUACCAAUAUAUAGAAGUGGCUCACAGUUCCCUACAGAUCUUUCUUGCAGUAAGUAUCCAAUUAUCUCCUCUUUCAGCACCCUUUUGUGUAGUAUAUCCCAACAGAGUACAAUGUAACUAUAUAGCUAGAUAGGCAUAGUUUAAGCAAUCAUUAAGUUUUAAGCAUCUGUUUUCAGUAUGAAUCGCAUUCUUAAAGGAUUACUGGUUAGUUGGCAUCUGUCUGUCUCAGGAGACAAUGGAAGAGUGCGCCUUUGGAGGUGAAGUAAAAUUGUUGGAAAGUUACAGCAUCUGCUGUUACUGUAGAGACUGAUAUGGGAAAGACAUGUUUUGUUGCAGCUGGGGCAGAUGAAGGCAUCUGGUUGUGCUGCUGUGGAUGCACCAAGGCGUUUCUUUUCUCUGCGCUCCUCCCAGUGGUCAUUUGUCCUCUGGUCACUGCUAUGGAUGCACAACCUUACUUCCUGUCUCCAGGCACUACAUUCUAAUAUUAAUAGAGGGUGAAAAGUUAAGCAGUGUACUUCAGAAUAACUGUAAACUAUAGGUCUGGAAUGCAAGCCUGAGGGUGCCAUGUACACAUUCCACACAACAUUUGCGUAUUACUACAAAAUUAGCACCAAAAUGAAUGCAACCCACUAGACAGUUAAUUGACACCUGCCAAAUAUGUGAGGAGCUCUCUCCUGCCAAGCUUUGUGGUCUAUCUGUGCAAUCCUAUGUUGGUUUAUUCAGUUUUACUUGAGCUCAUGAACUUGGUGCCUAGUAAAUGUGUAUAUAAUGUAGCAUUGAUGGCAUAGCAGUUGUGUGCCCAACAAUAAUAGCAAAUACCAACUGUGGGAGGGGUUAUACUGGAAUCCAACGAAGAGCUUGUCUCUAUUCAUAUGUGGACCCAGUAGAAUCAGUCAACAUAGUGUAUUGGAAAGAUUUCCUUCAGUCUUUUUUUUUUGCAUCUAGUGUUUCUAUCAUCUCUGUUUCUGCAGAUAGGAGAUACCUAAAUGAAGUAAUCCACAUAUAUGUCCUUCAGUUCUAAUAUACCAAAUUUCCCCUAGUUACUUUCUUUGGUUUAGAAUGACCACAAAUCAUUCUCGGUUUAGUGGUACAGUUCACUUGGUUCAAAAUGAUGGAUUCUUCUUUCUUUCUUUGGCUCCUCUGUUUGACCAAAACAAAUGUCUGAGGUAUGAGCUGGUUUGGUGAUAAAAGUAUAUUAACUCAUGUUGCUCUAUACAUUAAAAUGUCCUCAUUCACUUAAUGGCUAUUGAUUUUGCCCGCCUGUUUCAAAGUCACCAUUUCAUUUUCAAAUCCCUUGAGUUAACAAAUAUUAUUCCAUCAAAAUAAAAUAAUCUUAGUUGCGAUAUCUUCACUACACAUUUCAAGUCCUGAACAAUAGCCUUAUAAAAUGUUGACAAAGCAAAAAAUUAUUUUAAAAACCAUCAUUGUAUGACAUUUUCUUGUUGGCAUCUACCUGUCUUGGGAGACAAUGAAGGAGUGUGCCUUUGGGGGGGUGAAGUCAAGCUGUUGGAAGGUUACAGCGCCUGCUGUGACUGUAGAGACUUGAUGCAGGAGAGACAUGUUUUGUUGCAGCUGGGGCAGAUGAAGGCAUCCGGUUGUGGUGGUGCAGAUGCACCAUGGCAUUUCUUUCCCCAGUGGUCAUUCCUCCUCUGGUCACUGUUAUGGGUUCAUGACCUGUCUGUCUCCAGGCACUGCGGUCAUCUGCAAGCAGUUGAUGUUGCCAGCCUUCAUGUCACGUUUGCAGAGAAUGCCUGUGUUUUGGUUUGCAUAUUGUUUCUUAAACUGCAAAUUAGGUAGGUUUGUCUGCAAAUGCAAGCCAAAUUGAAUUUCCCCCCCCACACACACACACACUACUAUCUAUAUCCUUACAAUAGCAUGCAGCAGUUGUAGGAUGAGCAAGUAGAGGAUUAAAACAUUUACUCACUUUGUCCAUGUUCGUUUGCCUGUUGUGUGAUUUGUGCUAUUUUUUCAUAUUCUUACCAAUAAUUUCUGGGCCAAACAGCAGGAAUUUUCAUCCACUGUUGGGUUACCACUCUCCUGCACUGCAACAGUAGUGUUUUGGCUGGGUGGAUUAUACAAAUGUAUGGCAGAUGGGCAUAGGUCACAAACAUAUAUAAUUUUGUAUCCUUCACUCCAAGUGAUUUAUUUUAUGUUAAAAUAAGACAAGCCACCUAAUAUUUGCAAAGCGCAAUCUAUUGUCGUUAUAAAUCAGAGAUUUAUCAUUGACUCUAGUAGGAAGAAAAUCACACCUACAAACUGUUUUUACACAGAAAUUAUUAUUAUUAUUAUUAUUAUUAUUAUUAUUAUUAUUAUUACUGCCCUUCAUCUGAGGAUCACAGGGCAGCUUACUGUGUGUGUGUGUGUGUGUGUGUGUGUGUGUGUGUGUUUCUAUAUUUUGUAUAUGUUUCAACGUUAUCCUUUUGUAGGAAAACAAAAAUCAUUUUUGUGGGAAUUAUUUCCAGUUUACCAUUCACUUCUACCAGACUAAAGGGAUGAAGGCGAAUGAAAACUGCAAAGGGCCCAGUGGCUGUGUGUAGGGAUGGAUGGAUCUGUCAAUUCCAGUUUCUCUCAUUGUUCCCGCCUUGAUUUUAGUUUGCCACAUGGCUGCCUUGGAGGCAUGGCAUAACACAAAGCGGCUGCCGGAUCUAAAAGGGCAGAAAAGGAAACAGGACCACAAAAUGGAGCAGAUAUGCCCCUCAUCAACUCCAUCCCACCACCAGUGGGGGGGGGGAGGGCACUUAUAUCAGGCGCCGCCACUGUUGCUCACAGUUGAAAAGCACUUUACACCUCUGUUCAGUUCUUGGUGUCCAGUCCUGCCAUCCAAUGAAAUGUGGGCAUUUAUAAAGGUAUGUGUUUAAUGUAGGAAACACAGCCACUGCAAAUAGGAACUGAGCAGGAAUAGUGAACAUUCUCUCGUACACUGUGAAUUUUGGAGAGGAUAUUUAUUGAGACCUUUCACGGGUGCCAUAGUAGGUUCUCCUGGGCACACUGGCACCCAUGGGCACUGUGUUGGAAACCUUGUCCUAAUAUGUGUAUUUUUGUACACAUUGUUUGGUUUGAGAACUGCAUCACAAAAUUCACAGAAUUUGAAUUCUGAAGGAUGGCUGCAUUUCUGUUUGUAUAUUGUUUCAGGGAGCUUGAAAAUUAAAAUGCAAACCAAAUCAAAUGCCCCAUCCACCCGUAGCUGUGACAGAUGGAUGUUAUGUGCAGCUUGUGUACUGAACUCCACUGGCUCCCUUUUCGUGCUACAGGUCUCUGUCAUACUAGGCAUCCAGUGUGUAAACACACUCCCUACAGGGGAUAAAAUAAGCAAAAGAUAAUUCAGUCAGUAGAGCAUGAGACUUUUAAUCUCAAGGUCGUGAGUUCGAGCCCCACAUUGGGGGAAAGAUUCCUGCAAUGCAGGAGGUUGGGUCCUUCUGGCCCCUUCCAGUUCCAUGAUUCUAUUUGCGAACAACAGUCCUAAGUUGCACUAAUUGAACCAAAGAAAAAUUAUUUAUCAGCUGCCCUUCAGGUGCUCCCUCUUCUCUAAAUGCAAAUGUAAAUAAAUGUGCUACAUAUGCUACUAAGCAUAAUUCAACAGCACUAUAACAGAAAAAAUGAGCAAAAGUCCUUCCUUCAUAUACUGUAAAUACAUCAUCACUAACAACUUAAAUACAACCAACUACAAUAAUUUAUAUAAAGGCUGGCCAUUUCCAUAUUGAUCCUGCUGAAUGCCUUCCUAUAAAACAUGCUAUGUAUUGACCACAAUUUCUCUUUGCUUGCACUGAAACUAACGUAAUACACUGCAAGAAUUAUCAUGGUACCAUUACUAACUUUCCUUUCUGUUUAAAAAACAAAUCCCGUAAUCAAGUUAGCUAUUCUAGAGCUUUACAGUAAGUGCUUGCCUUUCGGGACAGCAUAAUUAAUUUUAGGGCUGAGAUGAGUAUUUGGGACCUUGUAGUUUCGGUGUGCAAAGGGGGCCUAAUAUGUUUCUCCAAAGUCCUGCAAAAAUUCAGAUUGUUACUGUAAAAGGAUCAAGCAUCUGCAACCUCAGGGCCAUUUUUGCCCUUAUUCUGAAUUACCUUUGAAUAUUACCACCAAGCAAAAUCUUAUUGUGAUGACGUUACCAUAACUAGAAGGACAGUUUUCAAACAAAAAGCAGCAGCUGAUUGGAGCUGCAAAGAGGUCAGCCAUUGGGAUGGUGCUGGUUGAAUGCAAGCGUUGCAGUAUGGGCUGCAUAGGUUAUGUGCUGAAGAUACACUUUUUCACCACCUUUUGUACUUCUCCUCCUGAAAAGUCAUUCAAACGUACCCACACUAUGCAUUUAAGGUGCACUUAUGGCACAUUCAAAGCACAUGACUUCACCCCAAGAAUUCUGGGAAGCGUGGCGUGUUAAAGGUGCUGGGAAUUGUAGCCCUGUGAGGCAUUAACCAGCAGCAUGACCAGGCCCAAAGGCAGACUGCAGUGGAUCCAAGUAAUAUCUUCAGAAGGACACAGAUUCUCAGUUCAGAAUCAUUACCUUAUGUUCACACUUGCAGAGAAAUUUCUAGAAAACCUUGUGGUUUCUAUGAAUCCUAGUUUCAAAACAAGUAGUUUUUAAAAUGCAGGUUAUGCAACUCUAAGAUCAGCAAGACAGAUCAACCAAAUAAAACAGGGCCAGCAAUGUGACACUGAAUGUACUUUAACAAACAGCUGUUUACUGAUUGUGGCAGAUGUUAUGGGCAUUGUCAUAUGGAUCCAUUCAUUAUAGGCUAAAUGGUGGAGUAGUCAGUGUUUCCUUGUAGUGGUGGGAUCCUAUUUAGAUCUAGGUCCCUUCCAGCUCUUUGAUUCUAGGACUUUGAUCACUGCUGGCACUUCUGAGCACUGGUUCAGAUCAGAACGAAAAGCUAUGGCUACAGUUUUAAGCAAGGGCACAAUUUCCCCCACAAACUAAGGAGCCAAUUCGGUUUGUAGAGCCGGUGGGGAAAGAGGAAGAAAUGUGACCUGAAGUCAAAUGCAGCUUGCCAGUAAAAUGAGAGAUAGCCUAUUCUUUUUUCUCAGGUCUAAACAAGAAGUUCCAAGGCUCAGAUUUAUUAGUCCCUAACUUUGGGACCUUUCCUCCAAUCUCUGGUUGGGAUUGGGCACUAAAGUAGAAGUGAAGACAGCCACAUAUGGCUGGCUGGAAGACAAACUUGCUUCCUUCCCUCUUUAGUGUCCCAGCCACGAAGGGCAUGCUCUUAGUUAUGAACAGUGCCUAGAUUUGGUUUGGUUUUUGCAACCCUGUUUGACUAGGUAUUGCUCCCAUUUCAUUGCAUUGUGUCUUUUGCUCUGAAUAUUUUGCUGUAUGCAAAUGAGAAAAGAGUCAGAUUUGUCAAAACUUCAGCUCCAGUGCCUGAACCACUUAAAAUCAAGUUUAUGAUGAAUGUCAGUAUGGUUACUUUCUGUUAACCCUUCUCAGAACAUCCAAAGACCUCUAGCACCCAGAUGGUGGGAGUGGGGGCAGGGUGGGUGUGACAAUUGUAGAUUUCUCUUUCGCUAGAAGAAAUUUUCAUUAUACUUCUGUCAAUCAAACACUGCAAGAGGUUUUCAAACAGCAGGUGCUAUCUAUAUAUCCUUGGCUCACAUCCUGCUGAAAUGAGUGGCUUUCAUGCCAACUUUUAUAAGGAACAUGUACAUAUUACAUAUCUGCAGCUUACAAGUGAACGUUCAUCUUGAAGAAUUUUCUUACAAUGUAUUGAAGAGAACCCACCAAGGCUUUCUGUGAAUCAACAGACUGGCAAUAAUUUGUCAUGUUAAAUGAACCAAGAUCUUUUGUAAUCAAGUUUGGGCUCACUGGGCAUGGUGGAGAAAAAGAACCUUAUUUGAUUAAGAUGGAGCUCUUAGCUAGGUCAAUACAAUUCUUUUAUUAUUAUUAUUUUUUAAAGCAGAACUAUUGAUUCUAACUGAUAUAGAUAGGUGCCAUAGAAACAAUAGUCCUUAAGUCACGAACGAGUGAAAUUAGUAGAAGGGAAGAAGCGUAUGAGCCACCCCCCACUGAUAAUGUAAUAACACCAUCAUGUCUUAUUAGCAAAGAAGUGACCAGCUUUAGGCUGCUGUGACAUUGCCUCAGAGCAUGGUAUAUUCCUGAGAGUCUGCUUCACAGUAAUAUUAAGGAAACACCUCAUUAGGGGUGGAAGUACUGAAAAAGAAGCUUCUUUUUUACCUAGCCACAUUAAUGUAUUGUUUAUCAGGUCUGAUUUACCUAGUCACCACAAGCCCUUCCUUUUUAAAGGGAAUUUCAUAUACAAAACCUGCCCUUGAUCUUUUACAAAGAAUUUUUAUUUUAAAUUGGGUUUGAUGGAAACUACAUAGAAUAAUUCAACACUUUUGUCAGCUUUGCAAUGAAUUCCAUGCCUUGGGCUCAGGGAGACUAAUCCUGGACUGUUAUCAUUUUAUCUUGCAGUUCAUCAUUACUAUAAUGUACUUGCCAAAUGACUUUCAUGAUGAUGGAUUGGCUGUAUUAGGAAGGAGGGCAUUUAUAUUGCAAGGGCCCUUGGGAAAGUACAGAAUGGUGCCUUGCACCCACCUAUAGAAACUCAGUGAGGGCUUCACUUCACUUAGUUGUGCUUCCCAUGUACUUCCCAUUACCUCCAGCAACCAGAGAAGGAACCUGGCAUCUUUACACAGUUCAAGAAAAGUAUAAUAAUAAUAAUAAUAAUAAUAAUAAUAAUAAUAGUGCAAGUGCACCUGCUUUUUGUGCUUCUUGGAUAAUAUAUGAAUAGUGAAAUCACACUUAUUGAGAUGUGCUAGUUCCCCAUCAACUCAUUACUAUGAAUGUCUCCAAAUGUGGGUGCACAAAUCACUAGGAUAUCAAUUUUGCAUACUUCCGGUGUAAUGUGCAAAGCUGUCCCUUGCUGUGCGUGUUUAUGAAUGAAAACGCUGCAUGUAUUAUAUAGAGGCAGGUUUGGGGUAGAGUGAAUGGUAGAGAGCAAAAAUAAUUAUGGUUCUCAUAUUACUUUCUCUGAGAGAUGCCUUUAUUAAGCCCAAGUGCAGAUUCUGUGGAUAGCAGCUAAUGGAUUAAAAAUUGUGGAAGUUUAAGAUGCAAUUAGAAAACCACUUACUAUGGAGCAGUCCCAAAGGCAUUCCACAAUAAGUAGUUUUGGUGAUGGUGAGAGUAAAUAAUCAGCUCCUGACUAUGUGGUUUCAGGACUGCAGUGUAAGUGGGAAUAAGAAUUGCAAAGUUGGAGCCUCAAACAUAAUGAAAUACCUUGUGGUAGUCUUUGCUUUCGCUUUUGGCUUCUUACCAAAUAAUAUGGGCCACUCCUUUGUAGAUAUGUGUAUUAGAAAGAGGCACAGUGAACCAGGAUAGGGUGUUGGACCAGGGUUCAAACACCAACUCAGCCAUGAAGUUCACUAGAUAACAUUGGACCAUUUCACUGUCUCUCAGCCCUACCUGCUUCACAGGGCUAGUGUGAUAGUAAAAGUAGCAUAGGGGCAAGGAAGCCUAUGCUUUUUUAUUCUCUCUUUCCCAAUCUAGUUCCCCUGGGGGGGAGGGAAUCUCAGGGAGGUCAAUACUGAAGGAUUAGGUAGGAAAGCUGCUGAGGGAAAAGGAAAUUGCCCCAAAUGAUACAGAAAUACCUUGCACAGGCAGAACUUGCCUCUUCUCCAGCAGUCUCCCCUUUUCUCAAGAGUGCCCCCCAAAUGUCCAGAGAGCUUUUUCAGAGGAUACAUAUAGCUAAAGGCAGGAGUGGGUGAGAAAGUCUCCUUGCAUAAUCUUCCUUCCAGUUGCACUACUUGGGAUGCAAACUUUAUGGGGCAUAGAGUAUGUCGCGCCCUUUGGGCAUGAUUUUGAUUUUUCUCUCCCUGAAAAGUAAGAAAAAUAAUAACUUAGUGGUGCAGUCAGAAGUGGCUAGCCUGGGGGUACGGAACUGCAACACUAGCUUCCCAGCAUCAGGGUUAUUAUUAAAUCUCUAUACCCCCCUUCAUCCAAAGAUCACAGGGCAUUUUAUAAUAUAAGAGUUUCUGCAGCUUACUAGGUGAAGAAGUUGGGACACUAUGGGCACAACAGCAGAAACAAUUUUGCACUGCACCACUUCCUGCUUCCUCAACCCUCUCCCAGGAAGUGGCAGUUCCAUUGCUGCCAGGAUGCUAGUCUUGCCCCUCUGCUGUAACAGGUUAGCCAUUUCUGAAUGUAGUGAUUAGAGCUCUAGACAAAGAGCAGGGAGACCAAGAUCAAAUACCCAUACUGCAACGAAGUCACUGGUGACCUUAGGCAAGUCACUCUUUCAGCCUAAUCUACAUCCCAGGGCCAUCUUGAGGCCCUUGGGGGGGGGGAAGGCAGGGUAUAAAUAUUAAGUAUUUAAUUAAUAACAGAGAGCUGUACGUUACAGUCACCAGAAUAUGCUGCUGAAAGGGGGGGGGACCCAUGGUGCGAUUUGCUCUGACACCUAGGAGCAAUCAUCACAUGAAACAUGUAACGAUAAAACAGUACCAUGAGUUGCGGUACACCCAUGACUGCAAUGGGUGGUGGUGAGAAUAAACUCACAGUGUGUUGCUGAUCAAUGCAGUGCACGGUCCUGUAUGUUAUGGCAGGAUGGCAGUAAAUUCAUGGGAUUGCUGAUGGCUUUGCAUGAAGUUCAUGCCUCAUUUCUACAAAAGGGGUUAGUUUGACUAACAUCUAUGAGAACCUUCGUCGUUUUUGUUAUAGGCUCUCGGGACCUGUCUUUAAAAAAAUUUUUAAAAAAAUGUUCUGCAGGCUUCAGUGAAUUAUCAUCAGCUAGUUACUAGAUUUUCAUCUGGUCUGCACUGUAGCACUGGAGCCUACCUUUUCUCAUGUCACUCACUAUGCCUUCUCGUGCAGGCAUUCCUUCAUUCUGCCUCUGCUGCUAGAAAGAGGCAGCGGCAGGCAGCUUGAAGUGAGCAGCUGUCCUCAAACAAAGAAGGUAGAAAUGGAAGAAGGGCUGUCGAAUCCAUAACAAUAAGCACAUCAUGACAUAAUUACAGUAAAUCUCCAGAGUGAUCUUUAUGCACAUAAUGCCAUAUGUUUUCAGAAGAGGAGAUGUGCCAGUGUGUGUAUUAUAGUGGAAUGUAAGCAUCUUUUAACAAUAUUCCUGGUAGUGCUGAAUUGAUUUUUUUUUUUAAUCCAGGAAAGUAGCGUAUAUGUGAUGAGAGAACAAAUCAGUUAAGUAAGCUGUAGGUAAAAUUUUAAUAAUGAUUUUUUUAAGGCUGAAGGGCAUAAAAAGACAAGAGGAAAUGAUUGACAGACAUAAUAAAUAUUGUCCUGUACAGAUCAUCAAUUUAACCCUUCUGAGCACUCAUAAGUAAUCAUUUUUCUUGUACUUUUGUAAUAUCCUUUCAUUAGGUUAUGCCACUAUGCUAUAACAACAGUUAUGGGAACAAUUCUUUAUUACUGGUAUUUUCAUUUCACAGAUGAAGAACUUAUUGUCACUCAUCUAGAUACUCUCAGUUCUUGUUUUUAUUUGCAUGUGGAAUAUUUACUGCAAAAGGCAGCACAAAUUGGGUCCACUUUAUUCUCAUAAACACUGUAUGUGAGAGUGACUCAAAAUAUUUUAUCAGAAUUUGAAGCUAGUUCACCCUGGUCCGAGUCCACAAUAUAUCCUUAAUGCCACUGUGUUGCAAAUGCUUUGUCACAGAAAAGCUCAAAGUUUUCAGGCACGCAACAACUUUUGCAGCACAAAUUCAUCGGGUAGAAAGCAUCCUUUAUUGACAGGAAACUGUCAAGGUUAUUCACAUACAAAAACUGGAUUGGGAGGAAACAAGGAAUUUGUGCCAACUUUGGGGGAGAACCACCCCAUAUUCUAAGUCAUGGAACCUGCUCAAAGCCAUUCAGUGAAUUCCUAAUUGAAGGUGCAUAUUUGGAUCUUCUAUACCAGAGUGAGGAAACAUUUUUUUUUCUUGCCAAAAGCCACAUUCCCUCAGAGAUAAUUUGUUUGGGGCUGUAUGCUAUUGGAGGCAUUAAUUUAAAAAGGGCAUGAUUGUUCAGCGUCUUUGGGAUUUAUUCUCUGUUUUUAUCAUUUCCACUGGAUGCUUCAAGGUGGGGGGGGGCCUGCAUGCCAGCAGGAAGUGGAACCAAAAGUGGGUAGGGACCCCCUCUUUUCAGUCUCUUACUGCCACCCCAUUCUCUCUCACUCUGUCACUCGCUCUCCCACUUCUUCCUACCUGGCAUGCUGGGGGCAGGGGAAUGUUCUUCCCAGAGGUCUGACUCAUCGCAUCCAAAGAGCUUUUACUUUUUCUUUCAUCUAUUUCAGAUUUCCCAUCUUCCCUCUUUCCUUCCCUCCUCCACUCUCCAAGCUUCCCAUCUCCCUGCAUGAAAUUAGGUCAAGGGCUACAUGUUGCCCUCAGUUCACUGGUUGGCCACCCAUGCUUUAUACAUUGUUUGACCCAGGCUACAAAUGCCAAUUCAAUGUCCUUCUAACAAUACAUAUAAUAGAUGUUUCACUGUUCAUUUUUUUCAGUGUCUUUGUUUGACUUUGAGUCGGUUAACAGCAUUUAAUGCGCCUACAUACAAAGCACUUGUCAAUAUAUGCAAUAGCUUGUGGUCCGUCAAAGAUUAAUAAACUGCACUCUCCAUGCCUGCUUCAGGAAAUAACUUAGUCUUCUGAAGAUUCAAACAGGAUGGUAUUUUGUUUUUUGUUUUUAAAUAUGGGUGGAACAGCUUAAAAACCAAUUGAUAUUUUCAGUAUUAGCUGGUUAGACUACCCUGUUUUUCAGAAGAUAAACAGCCUAAUGUCCAUUAGAAAGAAGCUGGCAGUGGACCUAAGUGGUAACAAAUCACAGAUCAGCCAGCUAAAGUUCAGUGACUCCAAAGGUUUACAAACUUCAGUUUUCAGGAAUCAAUGUUCUUUUUAGUUGGAGCGUUUAUAUUUGAUAUAGAGCUGUCCUAAAUCAAGAGGCAACAUCAUUCCAUCUCUUUUCCCUUAUUCCAGAAUUUUUAGAAUCAUGCUAGUCUGAAAUGCAUACAUACAGUAUUUGUUAUACUGAACCAUCACAAUGAAUGUUUUUUCUUAUUUAAAACCAAGGUGCCAGACUUGCUGUUGGGUAGUAUAAAUCCUAAAUGCUACAAGAGCCUAUGAUCAUACAAGCUUAGUGCAUCUUAGAUUUUCUACUCCCAUACUUCUUUGCCAAUCUUUUUGCUUUCUUAAAAUUCAUGUUUCAGAUUUCCUUGAAUAAUCAUUUCCUGAAAAGCUGGGCAUAGCUGUCUUUCCCAGUUGUCUGUGAUAGCACAUUAAUUAUUCUCACAAGAAAAAGUGUUUUGGCUUAACACAAUUAUUCCUAUGUUUUCAUCAUGACAAAAUGAAAUAAAUCCUGAGACUGAAUCUGACAUGACAUUUUAUUUUAUUUUUUAUUUUUUAAAUUUUAAUAGAUAAUUUUAUUCAAUACAAGUUAAAAUACAUACAUAAUCACAACAAAAGAAAAUACAAAAGAGAAAAACAAAUAUAUCUAUCCAAGGAAAAGGAAUUAGAGAAUAUUUUGUCCCUUUUCAUAUUUACAGUUAUUUAUACCUCUAUAAAAUGCUAUUCAUGAUAACACAGUGAAAUGAAAUGUAAGAUAUCAGAAUAAAGAAAAAGGGAACAAAAAGAGAAUAAAAAAGUAAAAAAACAGGUCAUAUAUGAAAAUUUUUUAAAAGUAGAUAAGUACUCACAAUACAUAGCCAUUUCUCAUCUAUAUUUACAUUCAAUUGUAUAAUUUCGUCUUGUCCUUAUCUACCUUAAACAAAUUGUUUCUUUUGAAAGAAAAAAAGAAAAAAAGAAAAAGAAAAAGAAAAAAACGACUUCCACCGUUUACCUCAUGCGUUUUUAAUAAUCCGUUCUUCAGAGCCUCUGUUCUUCAUAUUUUCCCUUUGGGUUUCCUUAAUUUCUCACUUUGUAUUUUUUUUAUAUUACGCACAAGAUUAUUCUAAACACAACCAGAUUUUUGUAGUUGAGCCCUGGUUUUGUAAAUAAUCAUUUAAACACUCCCAUUGCUUCAUAACCAUAGUUUUGGAUUUUCUCCUUAUUAUAUCUGUCAAUUUUGCUAAUUCCAGGUACUCGCAAAGUUUCCCCAACCAUUCUCUUUUUGUUGGGAUGCUUUCCUCUUUCCAAUAGCUAGCAAUCAAAAUUCUUGCCGCUGUUGUCGCAUAUAGAAAUAAGUUAAUUUUCUCUUUGGGGAUAUCUUUAUCUAAGAUUCCUAAUAAAUAUGCCUGUGCCUUUUUUUUAUGUGAUGUCCUUAUCAAUUUUUUUAUUUCGUCAUGGAUCAUGUCCCAAAAGAUUUUAAUCUUUGGGCAAGUCCACCACAUGUGAUAUAAUGUACCUUUUGUUCUGUUACAUUUCCAACAUUUGUCGUUGUUCCUUUUAUUUAUUUUUGACAAUCUGUCAGGGGUGGUUUGUAAAUUUUUUGUGUUGUUCUUUUUUAUCAUAGAAUAAGUAGCCGUGCCAUCCAUAUAUUUUGUCCCAGCCCUCUAAUGUUAGGACUUCAUUAUCUUUUAAUAAUAUCCAUUUUUUUAUCCAGCACCAACACGCUGCCUCAAAAUACUUCCUUAAAUCUGGCACUGCGAAUCCUCCACUUUCUUUUGGGCCCAUCAUUACUUCUGAUUUUAUCCUUGCUUUUUCCCCCCUGCCAUAUAAAAUUUGCAAGAUCUCUUUGCCAGCUUAUAAAAUAUUUAGUUCCUAUUACAAUUGGAAUCGUUUGGAAUAAAAAUAGAAUUUUGCGGAGUAUCAUCAUUUUAAUCAUAGAUAUUCUUCCUCCUAAUGAUAGUUUUAAUUUUCCCCAUUUGUCCAUACUUCCUUUAAUUUCUUUCCAUUUUUUAAUAUAAUUAUCCUUAAAUAAAUUUGUAUUUUUAUUUGUAAUCCAUAUCCUUAAGUAGUUCACUUUAUUUUCUAUUUUUAGUCCUGUUAUUUCUUCUAAUUCCUUUUUUCCUUUCUCGCCUAUAUUUUUAGUUAUCAGUUUCGAUUUAUCUUUGUUCAAUUUGAAUCCUGCUACUUCACCAAAUUCUUUCAUUCUUUCCAAUGCUUUAUUUAUACUUUCUUUUGGUGUUUCAGUUGUAAUGAUCACAUCGUCUGCAAAUGCUCUUACUUUAUAACACUGUGUCCCAAGACAUAUGCCCUUUAUUUCUUCAUCCUUUCUCAGAGCUAUUAAUAGAGUUUCUAAUAUUGUUAUAAAUAGGAGUGGGGAUAAAGGACAUCCCUGUCGCGUCCCUCUCUCAAUGUCGAAUUAUUCUGUAAUUUCAUUGUUUAGGAUUAAUUUAGCUGUUUGUUUUUUGUAGAUUGCUUGAAUUCCAUUCAUAAAUCUUUUACCUAAAUUUAAGCUUUCACAUGUUUUGAUCAUAAAUUUACAAGAGACACUGUCAAAUGCCUUUUCAGCGUCUACUAAAAGCAUUGAAAUUUCUUUACUUGGAUUCAUUUCGGCAUAUUCUAUUAAGUCUAUAAUUAUUCUAGUGUUGUCCUUUAUUUGUCUGGCUGGUAAAAAUCCUGCCUGAUCUUUUUAAUUAUCCUUUUUAGCAGAGUUUUCAUUCUAUUUGCAAGGACUCCAGUAAAUAUUUUAUAGUCUAUAUUCAAUAAAGAUAUUGGCCUGUAGUUUUUUAUAAGUCUCAAAUCUGUACCUUGCUUUGGGAUAAGGGUUAUUAAUGCUUCCUGCCACGAGUUAGCUAUUUCUCCUUUAUCUAAAAUUUCAUUCAUAAUUAAUUGCAAUUUGGGUGUUAUUAUUUCCUCUAAUUUUUUAUAAUAUGUUACUGAGAUUCCGUCUGGUCCAGGCAAUUUUUCCCUCCUUCAUAUUUUUAAUCACUUUUUUAAUCUCUUCAAGUUCAAUAUUUGAAUUUAAUAUUGGAUAUUCUUCUUCUUCUAUAUCUGGUCGUCUAUUUUCUGAUAGGUAUUUUUGAAUUUUCUUUUCCUCUUUUAAUUCUACUUUAUAUAAAUUUUUGUAAUAUUUUAUAAAACUUUCUUUAAUUUGUUUUGGGUCAAUGAUUUCCUUUUCUUCGUCAAUAAUUCUAUUUAUUACUCUUUCUACCUGUCUUUCUUUGAUAAACCAUGCCAGCAUCCUACCCGGUUUUUUGCCUGUUCAAAAUAUCUUUGUUUUGUCCAUAUAAUUUUUUUCUCUACUUCCCUAUUUAUUAAAUUUGAUAGGUGGGCUUGUAAAUUCUUUAUUUGUUGGUGGAUAUCUUCAUUCUUUGGGUUUUUCACUAGGUCUUUUUCUUUCUCUCUUAUUUGUUUAUUUAUUUCCAUAAUAUUAUUAUCUUUAUUUCUCCUUAUCUUUCCCAUUUGUUGUAUUACAAACCCUCUCAUAUAGGCUUUGCUCUCUUCCCAAAUCAUUUUUUUAUCCGUAUCCUGAUUUUCAUUUAUUUCAUAAAAUUCUUUCAAUAUUUCCUUUGCCCUUUUAACCCUUUGAUCGUCUCUCCAUACCUCCUUGUUCAUUCUCCACCUUCCCUUAGUAUGAUUUUGAAAUUUCAUUAUUACCGAUACCGGAUUAUGAUCUGAUAUCGAUCUGUUUAGUAUUUCUGCUUUUUCUAAACUUAACAUCAGCUUUUUUGUUAGCCAUAUUGCGUCGAUUCGUCCCCCAGAUUUUUUUGCCUCCAAGUAAUGGGUUAUAUCUUUAACAAUUGGGUUUUUUGUUCUCCAGGCAUCAUAUAAAUUAAAAUUCUCAAUUAAGUGGAAAAAGGAGAGUGGUAAUCUACCUGAACUUGAUAUUUUAUCUCUUUGCGUUCUGUCCAUUUCUAUCGAUGUUACUCCAUUAAAAUCUCCCAUAAUUACUAUAUUUUCAUCCACAUAAUCCCAUAAUCUCUCAUCCAACUCUAAAAAAUUCAUCCUUUUUGCUAUUCGGAGCAUAUAUUCCUACCACUAUGAUUUUUCCUUCUUUUGUUUGUAUUUCUACCCCAAGUACUCUACCUUCAUCAUCUUGGAAUAACAUUUGGAAUUUCAACAUUGUAUUUACAUAGAUGACCACUCCCCUCUUUCUUUCCGUUGCAGAUGCUAUAUAUUCCUGUCCUAGUCUCGUAUUUUUUAACACCCUUACAUGAGUUUUGGAUAUAUGUGUUUCUUGUAGACAUAUGACAUCCCAUUUUUUCUUCUUUAAUGUACAUUCUAAUUGAUUUCUCUGAAAUUUACUGCAUAAUCCAUCCAGUAGUUUACUCUUCUAGUUUUUCCUAAUUUUUCUAAUUUCUAGUUUCAGUUCGUUAUUCUUGCUCAAUCUGGUGUAUCUAGACACGCUUUUCUUAAAACACCUUGUGCAAUUAUUAACAGAGGGUUUUCGCAUGAGGCGCACGGCCCCCUUCUCUGUUAACUGUUCAGUUCUGUAGUUCUCUUUACAAACUGUUUCUUCCUGCCUCCCCCUCCCUCCACUGAACCGGCAGAGGUUUUCCAAUUAUUAUCUUCUCUUUCAGUUAUUUACGGGGGAGGCAUUUGCUUUUCACAGUCUCCUUUUUAAAGGAGUGUUCAGCGCUGCCGUGCCGGGGAAUUGGAGCGUUUGUACCAGAGAGUGGUUUUGCCUCUUUGCGCAAAGGUCUUCCCCUCGUCUUUCUAUUUCAGUUUCUUUGUUCUAUAAUAUUGCGAAACCUCUUCUUUUGCGCUGCCUUAGGCUUCCGCCCUCAGGUUCCACCCCUGAGGUCGAGGUAACUUAUGCCUAGUCCCUCGUUUCUCCCUCUCUGGCACCAGGUCCACCUCGAGAUUGCAGGAGCGCGGAUCUCCACCCGUCUCUCUAGCGCGCUGCUCUUUUAAUGGCACAAACUUUGCUCCAUUAUCUGUAAAACAGUGAAUGCAGGUGUCAUCCAGUGUCUAUAAAUGUAACCCGAAAAGCAGCACUUUAGUCUAUGCAAACCAUAUACAGUGGUACCUCAGGUUAAGUACUUAAUUCAUUCCGGAGGUCCGUUCUUAACCUGAAACUGUUCUUAACCUGAAGCACCACUUUAGCUAAUGGGGCCUCCUGCUGCUGCCGCACCACUGGAGCCCGAUUUCUGUUCUUAUCCUGAAGCAAAGUUCUUAACCUGAAGCACUAUUUCUGGGUUAGCAGAGUGUGUAACCUGAAGCAUAUGUAACCUGAAGCUUAUGUAACCUGAGGUACCACUGUACUGCAGUUCUAGAAGUAAGUUACCAGGAUUAGUGAAACUAUACCCAUCAAUAUCACUGAAGGACAAAGUUGCAACUUAAGUUCUGUUUUUUCCUGGGCACUUUGCUAAUCAAAAGGUCCACCACCAGGUUCAGAAUGCUUGAGAACAAAAGCCCACAUUUGAUCUCUAUGUCCUUUGUGGUUGCAGAAUAAGAACAGGUGUAGGAGUGGAUUAAGAUGAGCUUUCCUUUGGGGGCAGGUUAGAAGCAAUUUCAACUUUUAGCUGUAUCUUAUGAUGAUUUAAGAGAUCUUUUGAAGUCAGGUUAUACAGUCGGAGAAAUCACCCUUUCAAAAGUUUUGUAAUUCCUACUUGAGCUAAGAAGCAGCUCUAUCAAAGGUUUGAACCAUGCUUAUUGAAACCAAAGGCAUUGCUGGCAUGCAUUGAAUUACUACCAUGUGACAAGCUGUGUUUAACCAAAAGGACACACUACGGAGCAACUUUUUCAUCUUAAUGAGGAAGCUAAUGUAUCCAGCAUGACAUGACAGUAGAAGAUGGACGAGAGAAAUCAGUCUUCUAGAGUGAGCAACAACAAAUAGCAGGGCAGAAAGGGGAAUACCAGGAUGAAUGAUGUUGCACUAAGUAAAUGCAGUUACACAUGCGCUGGAUUAAUUACCAAGUUCUGCAAACAUAAGCAGGAAAAUAGUCUUAUUUAGGAAUCACUACCAGGGAUCAAAAGAUGUGCUGUGGCAAAUCACGCAAAACCAACAUUAUGAAUCCCUGGAAAGUCCAAUGCUGCAAAUUCAUCACAAGCAGAAUAACUGUAUGCAAAUUGCACCAAUUAAGCAAGCAGUAGUACUUUGAUCUAUUUGAUCUAAUAAAUCAGUAAGAGUUAAUCUAUUAGACAUCAGCAGAUGAUGCUAACAAUUUAUUUGAGAUGCAUUAUUCUCGGGUCUCUGUCAUAAUAGAAAAAAUAUUACAAUAGUAAUAUUAUGAGAUACAGGCACACAGAAAAAAUAAAUUGGAAUUAGAAAGCAUGGAGUGGUUUUACAUCCUAGGCCUAUGACUGUUUACUUACAGGUAAGUUUUACUUUGCUAGUGGGGUUCACUCCUGGAUUAAGUGUACAUAGGACUGCAGCCCUGAAGAAAGCUGGCAACUACAGAUCCUGUCUGCUCUAAGUGUCUUCAGUGGAUAUGGCCCUCAUUAAAUUACGCUCCACAAAAAAAAGGGUUUUCCAAUACCGAGCUGCCAGCUAUACCUGGGGAAGGUACAGGCCAAAGCCAAUGAGCAGCAGUCCUGUGCAUUCAAAAGCUCCUCAGUGAUAAGGCAGCACUCCUGGAGAUAUUGCUGGGACAAAGAAGAGGGUAGAGGAAGAAACCAAUCAAGCAUUGGCUGGAGGAGCAUUAUUCGUGGACCCCUUGGGACGACUCCACAGCCCCCCACAGAUCCACAGGCCACACAGGUUGGGAACCACUGGUUUAAGAAGCAUUAUAUUUAUGUAUUAUUUAUUUAUUUGGAGCAUUUAUGUCGUGCUCUUUAGCCAAAAGGCUCCCAGAAUGGCUUACGUAUAAUCAAAAACAAGACAGCGCCUACCUACAGGCUCACAAUCUUACAAACUAUGACACACAAGGGAAAGAGGACAAGGAGGGAAGAGGAAAGUCAAAAUCAAAACUCAUUACCUCCAUGUGAGAAGUAUAGACCAGCAGGUAGAGGUGAUGCUUAACCAUUUAUCUCCUGGUGUGUGUUUUUUUCUGAGCAAAAUCCAUUCCCAAAGUUCUUUUUCAUUCUGCCCCCUGCAAAGUGUCUGGUUUGGUCUGAAGGUAUUUACAGUGGUGCCUCGCAAGACGAAAAGAAUCCGUUCUGGGAGUCUCUUCGUCUAGCGGUUUUUUCGUCUUGCGAAGCAAGCCCAUUGACGGGAUUAGCGGAUUAGCGCUAUUAGCGCUAUUAGCGGCUUUUAGCGGCUUUUAGCGGCUUUUAGCAGCUUAUCAGCUUAUCGGAUAAGCAGAUAAGCGGCUUAGCGACUUAGAAAAAGAGGGGGGAAGGAAAAAAAAACCCAGGAACUCGCAAGACAUUUUCGUCUUGCGAAGCAAGCCCAUAGCAGAUUCGUUUUGCGAGGCACCUCCAAAACGGAAAACUCUUUCGUCUAGCGAGUUUUCCGUCUUGCGAGGCAUUCGUCUUGCGGGGCACCACUGUAUUGUCCAAUUUCACAUAACAUCAUUAUGGAGACUCCAGCCUUUGUAUUUGUGAAAAAUGAUUUGUCUGUUUGUUUAUUGUUCUAAGUCGCUUUGAAUUACUUUGGUUAAAAAAAAAGGUAACUAGUAAAGUUUAAUAAAUAAAAUAAAUAAAUUGUCCCUGCUCUCAUUAUCAGGCAGUUUUAUCAGUUUCCAUCAGUUACUACUAUUCAAUAUGGCAAGUACAUGUAGGCACAAUUUAAAUAUUUUAUUUACAAUCUGUAUAAUUUUUACCACAUAACAGUAAAUGACAUAUCUCACUUUGGCAAAUCAAAACUUGAAAUGUAAAGUAAGGUGAAAUUAAUGUGUGUGUGUGUUUAAAAAAUGCAAAUUGCUAUAUUAGCAAUGGUAAAAUCACUUUUUCAGGCAGGGAAAUGUGCUGCUUGUAUAUUGAUGUGUUGUGCUAUUCACUGUGAACUAAUGCUUUCCCCAGAAGUUAAUUAACAAACUGCAGGCUUGCAUUGUUGCAUUACCUUUAUUUAAAAUGUGAUGCAUAAUGCAAAAUUGGCUCCUGGAAGCAAACCUAGAUAUCAUUCAGCAAGUUCCCUACACAAUGCAGAACUAGAGAUGUGCUACAAGGCAAUAUAUGACCUUAAUUUAUUUUGUUUACUGACAAAUAAAUGCCUCUAAAGCUGUAGAGAUAAGCAAGCUGAGAUGCUGUGGUAUCUUGCUAUUUGGAAUGUUUGUUCAGUAAGGAAAUUUUCAUCUCCUGUCGCAGAAUAAUGCACCUGUGACCAUAGCAGCUGAUUGGAACUGGAGUGGAUGCACAGAGGCAGAUGGAUUAAAACUGUCAUAAUUGUGGGGUUUCCUUCCCCCCCCCUUUCCUGGAUUAUAAUUUUAACAGGCUCCAGGUGAUUUCUAUUUCUUUGUAGCAUCACUCAUCUCAAAUAAGUCCCGGCAGGCUUGGAAAGAGAAGAUAGAUGCAUUUGAAUUCCCACCCCGCCCAUAUGAACCGAUUUGCAUUGUGAGCACUUAAGAGAGUUGUGCUGUGAAAAAAGCAAUUAGCUGCUUUAGUCUAGGGUGCCAUUUAGAAUAUCCAGGUCUGUGCGCUUCAACAUAAAAUUGACCUUUUAAAUUUUUUAUGUCUAAGAUUCUCCAUAUAUAUAUAUAUAUAUAUAUAUAUAUAUGAUAGAGCCUAGAUGGCAGGAAAAAGAACUGGUUGCACAUAUAGAAUUUAUUAAAAGACGUCUAGCCCUAAAGUACUGCUGCAGCUUUCUCCCUAUUACUAUGAAUACCAAGCAUAUGGUAUUGCAGCCUUAAUGUUUAAAUAACUGAUGUAAUUAAGUAACAUAAUAGCACCAUAGAUAGAUAGAUAGAUAGAUAGAUGAUAGAUAGAUAACAUAGUCAAGCUAUGCUCAAGGGAGUUAACAGUAAUUUUUUUUACAUGUGGCUCAGAAACUUUGUGUCAUCCUCAUUACACCACCAUCACCAUCAUACACACACAUACACACACACACAUUUGUUUUGUGAUCGUUGAAAGAACUGCUCUAUAUUGCCACAGUCUUGUGGCCGAGAAAUCCUUCCAUGUGGCAUGAACAGCAUGUGCAGGGGGCGGGGCGUGCUGUGUUGUAUGUAAAUGUCUUUGCCAAAUGGAUGUAUCCACUGCUGUUGUCAUGGCAGCCCAGUAGGACCAAUCCACACAACAAGCAUCUUAUGUUUGGCAGGACCUAUUUAAGAAGAUUGCUAUGUGGAUUGCCCCUGAUGGGCUUUCACACCACUGGACAUUCAGUUGCGAAUGCUCGCAAUCCCAGGUGGCUUUUUUCAAAUGUCUUAAAAUGGUUUCCCUCACAUUUCAUAUAUCAAGCAUUUAUGAGGGCUGAGCUUCAAUUUGAGGGUGGUUUCACACAGGGCAUUUUUAAAGUGGCACGGGUAAUGUAUGCAUUCAACAAAUGCAGUUUUUCAACCACAGUGGGUUACAACAUGUCAGAAAACCCAGGAUUGGCUUGGGCUUGUUGCUACAUAACAUUCAGUUGAUCCAGAAGAUACACCUAUUUUCUGCCAUGUGGCAUGUGAAGUAUCCCUUAAUCAGAGGGUGUCUAGUGUAGAAGUGGAUUGGCUGGUAGAAGAGCUACAGAGUCUUCAACCUGGAGCAGGCACCUUCUUGCAGAAUGCAUAUGUUUAAGUUAGUUGCUUUUGUAGCACAUUUGUGUACAUGUUGCUUUAAGAAGUAUGGCAAGAUUAUAUUUCUGCACAUGCUCAAUAGGAAGCUGAAGUGUAGAGCAGCUACCUUUUUUCUUUUUCUUUUUAGAAUUAUACCCUGCUUUUCACCACCUGGGUCUCCUUGGGCCACAGGGAGAAACAAAUAUGAUUUCAUUUGCCAUGCAGUUAGGAGCUGGUGUUUAGAUAAGGAACAGUUGGUCACCUCCUUACUGUAAAGCCCACAGGAGCAGGCCCUUUUCCUUUACAGAGCUUGUUUUAAGAAGCCUGCUUUGGAACAGCAGAGAGUGAAGAAUAAGGUUUCCUCUUUGUGAACAGCUGGACUAAACUGCAAAAGUAAACUUAUGGAACUGUUAGAGAACCUAAUAAAAGAGAUUACAUGGCAUUAUUCUGGAAGAGAGAACUUUAAGUCAUCUAAUGCAUGUUUUAUUGUGCCAUUUACAUAGAAUCCAGACAUGCAUAUAUGAUCAAGACAGUAUAUUGCUUUAUUUAUGAAUGUUGCAUCCAGUGCUUUUUUCUAAAAAAAAUGUUUAGGGGUACUCUCAUUUUCCUACUCAUAUUGAAAUACUGCCCCUUAAUGAGGCCAAACUUAGAUUCACAAAAUGUUUAGGGGUAUGCGUACCCCUGCCUCCCUCUAGAAAAAAGCACUGGUUACAUCAUGUUUGGCUUUGCAUCAGUCCUUCGUUGUAGGUCCCUCCAGAGACCCUGAAUUGGUUGAAAUUAAAUAAAAGCAGAACAGAAUUUGGGAAAGAGUCACACUUUCACCAUGUUUGCUAUGACUAGGGGUAUCGGAUGCAAAUAAAGGAAGUGAAAGCUUUAUGUAGAAGAGAAUUUCAGGAGAAGCAUUUUUUCACUUCCUCUGUAAGACAGACUGCACCUGCCUGAGUUCUGUCUUUUAUAGAUUAAUUAAAGGUAGUAGAGCUCUAUGUCCCUUUUGUAUAUGGCCAGCCUAUCUGCAGCCAUUUUAAUUUUCCCAGCUCAAUUGCUUUAGCUGCAAACUUCAAGACAAGAUUUAGGUUGGUGUGAUGGUAUCAGGUAGCAGUAAUAUUUGACUAUUCUCUCUCUCAAAUGAAGGUGAUAUUUCUUUUCACUUCUCUGAGCUAGUGGUGAACAGAUGGGAAGGAGGGGACCAUAAUAAAGAAUCAUACUUUAUUAUGUGGUGGAUGUGUGUGUUCCAUUUAGAAUAUUGUUGCAGCUGAAAACAUUAAAAACUGUUUAGCAGAGCACCUUAAUAUAUGAGAAGGAAAAUGGUGGCAUAAAUAUCUCCAUGACAAAUAAAUGACCACGUGAAAUAUUUUUUUUUAUCUAGGCCACCAGUUCAAAUCUAGCAUGAUUAAAAUCAAUAUAACUGUGUGCAACAGUUAUAUUCCUACUCUGGUGAUUAAUUACUGAAAAUCCAAACAAUAGUUUAUGCAGUUACAUUAAAAGCAAAAGAGGAGUCACGUGUAAGCCAGCAGUCAAUAAAUGUGAACAAGAUGAAAGGCUUGUUCUCACUAGUUAUACCCUAGGCAUGGAUCAGAGCCAGGAGGACAGUGAGAAUUGGAAGUGUGAACAUCAGUCUGUCGUGGAGUGUAGGAAUAAAAAAUAGACCAGGAUCUUCCUUUGAGGAAACAUAAGCCAUAAACCAAAAGCACUUUCAAAAAGCCAAGGUACACUGUAAGUGCUCCCACUGGAGUUUCAAAGGUAUGGCAAGGAAGAAUCAAACAGAGGGAUGUAAGAUGCUUAUAAAACUCAGUUUCGAAGCAGAAGUGCCAGAGAAAGAGCUUGACCUGGAUCAUAUUCUGGACACAAAAGAAGAUCAGAACCCCUGACAGAAAACCAGGACCCAUGAAAUACUUCUGGAAGCAAGAGAGCAGGAGCUCUGAGAGCAGAAGAGAGAAAACAACAGCACUGUUGCUCAGUUUGGGAAGCCUGUAUGUUUUUCAAGCCUAAAUGAAGAGGAGAUUCCCUCAAAGACUCAGCUGUAUCACACAAAUAUUCAAGGCAUUAUAGGAUAUUGGCAGGAUAAGAAUGGAGUAAAGUGUCACUGAAAUGUCCAGAUGUAAGGUGUUAGCCAUGAAAUGCUACAGUUCGCUAGCAGACCUGAGAAACAGUACUCUUUAUCCUCUAGUUCAGUAGUGGAGAAACUGGUGCACAGGCCUGAUCUCUCCCCUCCCUUCAGUAUUUUUAUGAUUUCCCCAAGCAGCAGAAACAAAAAUUAUAUUGUAUGGACUGCAUUGGUAGACAUUUUGCUUGGACAGAGCUGCAUGGAGUCUAAGCUGUACCUAACUAGACCAGGAAUAGUGCUCUGGACUCAUCCCAUGUAUUAUAAGCAGAUGUAUUAUAAGCUGAAUUUUAAAUAACUCCAUAAAGACGUUAUUAAUUUCCCUGCCCCGUGCCUUUAAUGAAGUACUUAUCUCAAGUGCUCUUCCACCUUCCUGGAAAAUGUCUAAAAUGAUGGUGAUACCUAAACCAAAUGGGGGGAAAUCAUAUAUUUAGAAAGUUCUAUUUAACUUGCUAAGAUACCUAAAUAUUCACAGCUUCUUUAGCAAGGAACUUGAAUACAAUAAUUAAUCAUGCCACAGUGAAAGAUCAGUGUUGUUUUGACCUUACAAGACAAUUAAUGGACAAUGUCAGAAAUACUUUAAAUGUACUACAUCAGGCAGAGCAAACAAAAAAACUGACCUAUUUGUAGUCUUGUUCGGUGAUGUAGACAACAGACAUGAUAGCAAACAGCUUGGGCAGCAUUUUGGAAAUAACCUUCAAAAUUUCUUACAGUUUGGGUCUAUAUUCUUGAGGACAUGAACUUGGUACACAGCUAGUUAAAAGCCACACUAAAGAAAACUGUCGCAAAGCUCAUUUGGGUGGGGUGCACAGGUGGACAAUAGCUCUGCUCUGUCCAGCUUAAAAGCACACACACACUUUCCUCAGGUGGAGAGCACAAAGGAACCUGUAGCAGAGCACAAAGGAACCUGCAGCUUCCAUUCACAAAGUUAAGCUAAACAGGUUGGUUGAUGCUGCAUCACUGAGGUGUUCCAAGUGUUGAAGUGUCUCUCCUGGUGUCUUCAAGUCUUCCCUCAUAGAAGCUUCUGGCCCUUGGAGCUUCAACCUGGACAACCCCUCUGCAGUGCAACAUGGAAGAAAGAGUGCUCAGGCAGAAAUCUUUUUGUUCUGGAAGCCUCCUAAAGUUUAAAUUUUGGGCAACAGCUGAGGGUUAGAUUGGCUACUUCCAUCCAUGCUGGUCAGGGCAGGCCCUGACUCCCUCUCACCAGGGCUUUGUAGUGACUUUAGGGCUCGGCAGGGGAUAGCCUAGCUACAGUGUAUAUAUGUCCCCUGUGUUUUCCCAGUACAUUUAUAACAAUAGGUUGGAUCCAGACUUAGUCAUAUUUGGGGCAGAUGCAUUGAAAUGAAUGGGGCAUAAGUAAUGUAAUGACCAACUGUUUUCUUUUUUUUUUUUAUAAGAUAUUUAUUAAGAUUUUUAGAAUAUUACAAGACAAAAAAAGAAAAAAUACAAAGUAAAAAAAGUUAAAAACAAUUCAUUCUUUCCAUUACUUAUCCUUCAUUUGCUUAUUUCCAAGACCUCCUCACACCUCCCUUUUUUGUAUUCCAGUUCAGUUAUUAAUUCAGCAAAUCCCUCCCCUCUUUAUGUAUCCUAAUCAUUAAUCAUAAGAUAUUGUAAUUUUAGAUUUUUACCUAUUAAUGACCCAUGUGUUCAUAUUCUCUUAUAACAUUUCAGCUAAAGACCACUUAGUUUCUAUCCAACAUCAUUCUAACAUUCAUUAAUUUUGCAAUAUUUCUGUAAAUAGUCUUUAAACUUUUUCCAAUCUUCUUCCAUCGACUCUUCUCCCUGGUCUCGGAUUCUGUCAGUCAUUUCCGCCAAUUCCAUAUAGUCCAUCACCUUCAUCUGCCAUUCUUCCAAGGUGGGUAGAUCUUGUGUCUUCCAAUGCUUUGCAAUGAGAAUUCUUGCUGCUGUUGUGGCAUACAUAAAAAAAAUUCUAUCCUUCUUUGGCACCAAUUGGCCGACUAUGCCUAGGAGAAAGGCCUCUGGUUUCUUCAAUGACCAACUGUUUUCAUUGAGUCCCACUGAUUUCACUGAGUAACUAAACCUGUAUCCAACACAUUAAGAGUCCUUAAGAGGCAUGUACAAUUUGUGAUCCAACAAACCCAAAAGCAGGCAGCAGAAGCAUGAGUUUUAUUGAACUCCUGGUGGACCACCACGUGGCUGGUAGCUUGCAUCUUAUGAAGUGUGCCAAAAGCUUUAUAGGGCUACCUCUGUGUCAAACCUUUGGGACAAAGGUUUCUUCUUUCCUGUGCUAUGAUGCAAUAGUUUCAGACUCCGGAGUCAGCCUAGCUCUCUUCUGUGAGUCAGGAAAUGCUGCCCAUGCAUAAUGAAGGUUUCCUAUUGUGAAGGUAGACUAGCAUGGGAGCAAACAUAUUCUGAACAUGUGCCCAUCAAAACUAUGCAGAACUUGGGUUUGUGCGUCUAGUCUCCUUAGACUUUCUUCUUUCCAGAUGGACAGCCUUUAAUCCCUAUGUUAUUUUAGUGCCCUCCUUAGUAUUUUUACCCCUGUUUUAUUUUAUCCUUCUGGAGGUGAGAUGAUCUGAAUUAGUUAAUUCAAAUUGUACAAGCACUUCAGACUGGCUGUGAUGUCCUUGAGCUCUGAAGGAAACCAGUGCCCCUUGCAUUAAUUUAAAUAGCACAGCACUGAAGAUAUAAAAUGGAAUUUUACUCAGGGCUGUUGUGGCAGCUCUCCAAAUGGUUCCUUUUACUUUUAAAAUAUAAAUGAUUGUAUAAGACUUGAUCUGCUCUACUGCUUCACAUGUAUUACAUUUAACAACAGAUAAGGGAAAAAAAGCUACUUCAGUCGCAGCUCCAGCAGCUGAUCUGCAAUGGAAUGCAACCAUAUCAGAAGCCAUUCUAAUUGCUUAUGUCAUUUUAAUGGGUUGUGUGAAUAUCAUGCACUUUGUGUGCUUCUGUUUGUUUGUUUUUAUAAAUGAUAUUUAUUGAAAAUUUUCUAAAAAUUACAAGAAAAAGACAAAACAGAAAAAGAAAAAGAAAAAUAAAAAAAAUAAAACCAUCAUUCUCCAAUUCUCCACUUUCAUUACCUUCUUUCUUUGACCUCCUCCUCCUCCCUUUUCUUGUAUCCUAAUUAAUAAUUUUCACAGCAAAUCCUUUCCAUAAUUCAUAGUAUUCUGUCAUUACAUUACCUUAAUCUAUUUUCAUCUUAUCUUAUAGAAAACCUUAAAGCUUAAAACUUAAAUCUUAUUUUUACCAACUUCUCAUAACCAUAACAUUCUUACCUAAUUCUUUAAACAUUUUAACAAGAGCCAAGUAAUUUCAUUUCAACAUUUUUCUAACAUUCAUCAAUUUUAUAAAACAAUCCUAAUGGUAAAGAAAGAAAUAAGAACAAUCCAAUCUUCAUCCAGCGUCCCUUCCUCCUGGUCCCGGGUUUUGUCAGUCCUUAUUAUCCCAUUGAUCUAGCACAUUAACCUGGUGAUCUUAUAUCCGAGGCCCUCAAGUCUCUCCCAUGUCCCUUCCGCAGCUCUUCUUCUUAUUUUCCUUUCACUCGUGGGAACUCCAGCUUGGUAAUGUUUUUGACCCUUUUCAACAGAUCAGCCCCUUUUCCAUAGUCCAGACUAAACUCCAUGUGGUAUUUGAAGACAUGUGUCAGAAUCCCUCCAAAAUUGAGAGCCCCCACAGCUCCAAACAUCUGACGGCCCAUUCCCAGACUCGGAAAGUCCAAACAUCCCUGCAUGGGGGGGUCAGUCCAGCCCCCCAUUUCCAAACCAAACUUUAUCUUUCCAAAUCUGUUUUUUUCCAAGUUCAUUUGUCAAAUCCAAAGGCUCGUAUUCCUGCAGGGCCGAAAAUUCCUCCCUUUCUGGCGCCCAAGAUUCAGCAACAUCCUCUUCUCUCAUCUGUUCUGUCAUGGCGCACUCCUGUUUUAGUUCCUGGGUGGGCUCCAUAUAGUUUCCCACUACCUGUUCAAAGGUUCUGACCGCAUUAGUCAUCAAAUCCGUCUUCUGACUUAACUGAUCCAAUAGGGCAUUUAUUUUACAGAGAGCACACAACAGAGCUUCUGAAAGCAUUGUCCUACAAGGUCACAAGUCCUUUCCCACGGUUGUAAUCUUUGACAGCUGCAAGCUCCCUGGAAUUAGUUACAGUUUCACAGUCCCCCUCUAGGGGGAAAACUUCUGGUUGUUCUUUCUUUUAAGGACAAUAGCAACAAAGUUUCUUUUUAAGAUAUUUUGUCAAUAUUUGUUCCUUUAAAAUGCGAAAGGAAACAAUGAAAUCACAAUGUUACUCUUCUUUUAGCUAUCUGUCAAAGACAUUUGUCUCUGGUCAAUUAGCUUCAAACAUCAGUUCUGACACCCCGCUCCAGGAUCAGGACGGUGGAAAGUUACUUUGCUUUAGACUCACUUCUGCAGGUUUAAACAGUCCAAAAAAAAAAAGAUCCCCCUUCUUCUCCUGCUGCCGAAGGGGGGUUCAACAAUUUUAAAUGAUGAAAGCCAGUCCUUUGAAGGUGAUAUUCUAAGCUCUAGUUUACGUUGUCUUUGCUUUACUCUGACUACAAAGAAACGGAAGGCUGACUUCCUGUUUAGACCUUCCCGUUUCAGUACCAAAUUAGAGUGAAUUUUUAAGUCCAAUUCCUUUCUGCUCGCCAGUUCUUAUUUAAAGUCCAAUUGUUCAAUGUUUAAGUACUCACGGGUGAUUAUUUUAGAUGCCAAAUUGUCCCAGGAAAAAGGCAGCGCUCUCCGGCAACGGCUAUGCGGCUUCGCUCCACGGAAAAAGCAAUUGACUCACAGCACCGCGCCACUUCCCCCUCUUCACUCCAGAGCCCGUUAGUGGGUUCCUUUGCGGGUUGGGGGGGGCACUAAGGGUGCCCGCCGAGUCCCACGGUCACAGGCUUCAUCCGCCUGUGAUUUCUAGAAGGGUCCCCGCUUCGCCGUAGCGGAAAGGACCCGUUUCGCGCGGAGCUAGUCCCUACAGUUCAGAGGGCGUCCGCCAUUGCCGAUGGCACCACCCCGGAAGUCACUUUGUGUGCUUCUGUCAACAUCCUACAGCUGCCUUCCUUUAAGGGUAUGGAUCUGAUAUUUCAGAUACAUCCAGGGGUCAGUCUUUUCCCAAUACUCUGACUCUGAACGCAGCCAGUGCAGAUUAUUUUGGAGGCUUCAUUCUUUGGUAGGGUUGCCAUAUGCCUGGGAUUUGGCUUGCAUCUGGGUGGCAAGCCAUGUCAGCAGUCUCGAACUCCACAAGAAUAGCUCAACAACUUAUUGGGGUUUUUUGAGAUUUUUCAACAACAACAACAACAAAGCUCAACAACUUUUUCUUAAAAUCGCAAUAAAUAACUUUUGUGUCUGGAUUUUCACUUUCUGAAAUAUGGCAACCUUAUUCUUUAGUAAAUGUUAUUUCACCUGAGAUGUUCCAAAUGUUGUAAUAACAGUUUAUUUCACUAGAUAAUCAGGCUGCAAUCCUGUGCCAUGGCAGGCUGCUUAAUUCCCACUCACUUUGGGAUUUAAGCAGUCCGUGUACAGGACUGCAGCUAGUUAUACUGAGUCAGCUUUGGUCAGUGAUAUGUCACACAUCACUUUUAUCAUUUUUACAUUAGAGAAAUGUGAUAAAUGCAUUUGAUAAACUGGAUGAGAAUUUUGUACUGUAGGUUGUCUAAAUGUUCUGGUUUUUAAUUGAUUGUCACUUUGAGACUUCUUUUGUAAAAAGCAACUAAUAAAUGUAUAUUACUUCUUCUUCUACUACUACUAGUACUCCACGCAAUAUGUAAAAUCCACUCCUAAACACCUUUAUUUGGAAGUUGUACUGAUUUCAGUAGGUCUUGCUUUCAGACAAAUAUACUUAGCAGCCCAAUCUACAUACAUAUUUACUCUCAACACAAACUGAGUUCAACUAGAGUGAAAAGGUUGAGAUUGGGGAAGAGUGUGCAACCAUGCUAUCUCUUUCCAUGCCAUGGAAAUAACCUGGAUAUAAAUUGUUGAAGAGGACUAUUGUUUUCAUUAAAUUAUUAGUGUUGUUUUGAUGUUUACUUUCUUUAAAAAUGCUGUAAUGAAGUUGUCCACGAUACUUCCACAAUUCAGCCUAAAUGAUGAAGAACUUACUACUGAAGUACAGUGGUACCUUGGUUUACAACCAUAAUCCGUUCCGGAGGUCCAUUUGUAAACCAAAACAGGUUGCAACCCAAGGCGCGCUUUUGCUAAUGGGGCCUCCCAAAAAAAAUUGUUUGUAAUUAAAAAAAAAAAGGGUUGUAAUCCAAAAAAAGGUUGCAAACCAGGACACACACUUCCGGAUUUGACGUGUUUGUAAUCCAAAACGUAUGCAAACCACAGUACCACUGUAUUAAAAACUGGAAGUGCCCAAGCUUAUUUUUGAAGGAUGGAUUGAUUUAACAUUUAAGAGCUAUCUCAUCGAUAUGAAGCUCACAGUGGUGGGCUACUCUGUUUCCAUUCCAAGAUUUUACAACGUUGCUGAAAUGUUUUGUAUGUAUUCUUAUUUCCCUCUAGUCAAACUCCAGUCUAUCAUUCUCUUAGUUUGCAGUGGUACCUCUACUUACAAGCACCUCUGGUUACGUAUCCUUCAGGAUACGCAUGCAGCAAAUGCGGAAGUAUUUUUCCAGGUUUCACGGCAUGUGCAUGUGCAGAAGAGCUCUACUGCACCACACACAUGCGCAGAAAUGCUCUACCGUGCCAUGUGCAUGCGCAGAACAGGCACCUCCUGUUGCUAAAACCUCGGGAUUCAACUGGAGCUCCAGAAUGGAUCCCGUCCGCAACUGGAGGCACCCCUGUAUUUCAAAAAUGUUCAUCCUGCUUCCCAAUCAGUGGAAGUCUUAUAAAGAGGCGGCCCCUACCAUAAGAAAUAUGGUAUAUGGAUUUAUAAAUCCAUACAACUAAAAGAUGGAUAGACAUAAAACCACAAGAUACACUGGUAAUCAUAAAAAUAUAAUUAUCCUAUGAUUCCACUGUCCUAUGAUUCCACUGUUCCCUCAUCUCCAAUUGUGGCUUCCCAGGGCUAUCUGAUUGGCCAUUGUGGGAAGAGGAUGCUGGACUAGAUGGGAUUUGGGAUAAUCCAGUAGGGCUAUUGUUAGAAUUUGCCAUUUUUUAUUCUGUGGUAAAACUUGUUACUCACCUGAUAAUAAAUCAAGAGUCUAGGAAUUGUGCUAUGCUGAAACAAUAUAAGAGCCCAGCAGGAAGUGGCUGGAGGAAGCCAAGGACAGUCAGCCAACAUAACUGGUACUGCCUUGCACAGGAUAAAGGUUCAUGGACCAAAAGAGAGGCCUAGGCAACUGCAAGCUUGAAUCAACAAAUUAAAGUUCUACUCCUCUAUUUUUAAAGCACAGUGCAGGUUUAUGCCAUUGGAUAAUUGUAUUAAACUUGGGGUAAAGACAUAGUUGCUUGAUUGAUAAACCAAUCAGAAGGAAUGCUUUGUGUGAUUAAUGACUAUGCCAUAUCUAAUGGGGCACAUGUUUAAUAGUCUCCAAGGUUCUGACAAGUAAAAUAGCAACUAAUUGUGGUGCCUAAGAAUUAUUCAGUCCUCGAGGCCUAAACAAAAGUUUUCAUUUGAGUUUAGGAAGGGUGGAGGUGUUGAGAAAGUUUACUUAUCUUCUUUUCUUCAAACCACACCAGCUGUCAUAAUACAUAUUAAUUUUCUGAAUUUUGCUUAUUAAUGGCUUAUUUCACUUUAAGCUCUUUCAACCUACGCAGCAAGAAGCAGGCAAACACGGAGGUUUUUGCAAGCAGACAACAAAGGAAAGCGCUGUACUUACAAAUCUAAUUUUCAUCUAAGUACUGUAGAUUGCAGCUCCCUGAGGCAAAGUCCUUGAUAUCAGAAAACCAAUUUCUGGCAGAUUGGAGGGGUUAUUCCCCUUUGGUUUUCCAGCAUCAGCGAGGAGAUGGGAAUAGAGGACCCAUUCUCAGGAGGCUGGCAACUUCACAAAAGAAAAAACAGAUGGGACCUGACAGGCUAUUUCCAGGAGAUGGAGUCUCUGAAGCAGGAAGCAGCGAUGCCUGAGUGACUACUGGGAGGCCCUUGCUUUUAAACUGGGAGAGUCAAGGACUCUGAUGAGAUGACAGCAGGCAGCAUGCAUUGUCAGGCUUCCACCUGUCCCAUCAACAUUUACACUCCCCACCCCCUUCCUAAUAUAUAAUUUGCAGAUUGUCUUGUGAGUGCUAUAUUGUUUAACCCUAUAUAACACCCUUAGCUGUACUCUGUGAAUAUUUUUUAUUUAUUUGUUUUUGCAGUUUUGCAGAAUUUGAGGCUGCACUAUGUAGGCAUAGAACCUUCAGCUAUUUCUAUUCUAUCUCUGAUUUCCUAUCCUUUCCCUAUCUUUUUCCAAUGAAAGAACAUGUAAGGAUAAGAACACUGGGGUGAAUUCUGUAUUCAGAGUCCACCUCAGAAUAUCCUACAUUCUGAGAGAAAAUAAUAUUAGGCAGCUGUUUUCCCUGCUCUCUAAAUCCUUCUGAAGCAAGCACUGUUUCCCACUUCCUCUUGGUAUUUGAAAUCAGGUUUUGUUUUCCUCUUCAAAGUCAUAUGUCAUCAACUUUCCUGAGCCAAUCAUGAAAAUCAUCUGCUGGCAUGAUUUGUGCAGUGAAAACACUUUAUCUACAGUUAAAGUUUGUAUUUUGAAAUAAUUUUGGAAUUUUGUACAUGAUUACCAUUAGCUCUCAACAAGUUGUUUAGAGUCCAUUUGACCCAAGCUUGUUCAGUUAUCUUCUUCCAGAGACCAAUGAGGGGGAAAUUAUGCCCAGUUGUGAAGAUACUUGAUUUCAGCCCUUUAUAUUGUUGACGAGGAGCUCCUGCUGUUUCUGCUGCAUCUAAGGAAUCUGAUAAGCAAAUUCUUGGCUGUGAUUAAGUCUAAGCUGGUGAGGGAGUGGGCAGGGUUGGGUCACUUUUAGGUGAUUACCAGUUUCCCAUGACAUAAAUGCACGAUAACCUUCCAACCAUUUCAGAAUCUGAUAGCAUGAGAGACUGGGUACUCCACUUCCCAGUCAUCUUCUAAGUAGGAUCCAGUUUUGGCUGGUAAAGGUAAAGGACCCUGUGACAGUUAAGUCCAGUCAAAGGCAACUAUGGGGUGCGGCACUCAUCUUGCUUCAGGCUGAGGGAGCAGGCGCUUGUCCACAAACAGCUUUCCAGGUCAUGUGGCCAGCAUGACUAAAUCGCUUCUGGUGCAACGGAACACUGUGACAGAAACCAGAGCACACGGAAAUGCCGUUUGCCUUCCCACCACAGUGGUACCUAUUUAUCUACUUGCACUGGUGUGCUUUCGAACUGCUAGGUUGACAGGAGCUGGGACAGAGCAACAGGAGCUCACCCCAUUGUGCAGAUUCGAACCACCAACCUUCUGAUUUGCAAGUCCAAGAGGCUCAGUGAUUUAGACCACAGUGCCACCUGCACCCCUGUUUUGGCUGUACAUCCUUUGAGAACCACCUUUUUCUUGUGGUAAGUUUUUUAACAGACAUUGUCCCCUAGACUAACACUGCAUAGCAAGAUCACAAUUUGAUAGCUGACCCCAAACUGUGGAACUCCAUUCCCCUAAUGAUAUCUGAGCCUGUACAACUUCAGUAGCUCUGCAGGGCCUUCUUGUUUGGUACUGCUCAUAUACAGUAUUUUAUGGAUUACAAGAACAGUAGACUGCAGACACUGCAGUUUUACACUUUAUGCACUGUUAUUCAUCAUCGGGCAAUAUUUCCGAAUUCACUCUCUCUGAAUCAGUAACCCCCAGUUUACACACAUCCUCCUGUAAAGCCUUUUCAUCUUCAAUCGUAACAGUCAUGUCUUUCUCAACAGUAGAUGCUAGCACUACAUCAGGAGUCUCUGCUUUGGCAGCCGUUCUGCAUAUCAUGAGAAAACAAACAUUAGCAGUGUAAUAAGCGAUAGUGCUCCACACAUUGACGUCCCAAUGGCAACCAGUCAACAGGGCAGAAAUUAACAGCUUCAGCAGAUUUGAAACCUUGGUUAAAGCUACUAUGAGAGGCUCUUGGAAACGUAAUCACAAAUUUACCAGCACACCAUGAGACAUUAAUGUGUUGGGAUUCAUAAUUGUAACCAGCUGAUGUAAAAGCUCAGCUGAGAUUCAAAUAGCUCAGGAGCCAACUUCUUCAUUACAUCUUCUGGUUGUUCAGCUGCAUAUUCUGGGGCUCCAUACCAGAUAGAUGAUGGAAUAGCUCCAGUGAUCCUCAAUACGCCAGUGAAAUGAGGAAAAACAAAUCCCUACAUGUAGCCAAGGCGACUUCCUUCCACAUUUAUCUGCAGUGAUGUGAGCAAGUACAGAUUGUUCCAUCACAGGCAUAUUCAAAUUCCAUCCACUAUCAAUAUACUCCUCUUCUUCUGGUUUUAAUUUGAUUUUACCAUCUCUCACAGGAAACUCACUGCCAAACUCCUUUGAAGCAAUAUCAGCACCAUAUUCUACUGUAACAUCUUCUUCAAUUGUGCUAACAAGAUGCCAGAACUAUUUCUUAACCAAUUCUGUAGGAACCAUAUGCACUGGCAUAUUAAAAUAAUCUGACUUGCAGGCAUCUGCCAUUUCUCCAAAUGUGCAAAGUGUGUAGUCUCGUGCUGCCUGUUCAAAACCAAAUGCUUUUUGUGGUUUAUUACACUCCUGAGCUAGGCCUCAGGGGCGUCUCCAGUCCCCCUCAGGGAACAUCACAAAGAGGUAGUAUUAAGCAAAAGGUAUGGUAACUGUCAUCACAGCCAUCACAUAGGAGCAGACUAUCCUCAUCAUUACCACUGCCGCACAACAGACAAACAUACAAAUCCAUGGCAUUAAAGCUUUUCUUAGAACUUCCCUUUGGUUGUUCUCUUUCUGUUUCCCAGAUGGCUUGCCUUUUUUCAACCAUUUCCCAUUUUACUAGGCCAUGAGACUCUUUAACACUGUCAGGCUCAAGCUUUGGAGGGGUGGUUCCCAUUCUAUGUCUCAGAUUGUGAGUUUUUGUUUCUGUAAAGGUAAAGGGACCCCUGACCAUUAGGUUCAGUUGCAGACAACUGUGGGGUUGCGGCACCCAUCUUGCUUUAUUGGCCGAGGGAGCCGGCAUACAGCUUCCGGGUCAUGUGGCCAGCAUGACUAAGCUGCUUCUGGCGAACAAGAGCAGUGCAUGGAAAUGUCGUUUACCUUCCACGAGAGCAGUACUUAUUUAUCUACUUGCACUUUGACGUGCUUUCAAACUGCUAGCUUGGCAGGAGCAGGGACCGAGCAACGGGAGCUCGCCCCAUCGCAGGGAUUCGAACCGCCGACCUUCUGAUCGGCAAGCCCUAAGCUCUGUGGUUUAGACCACAACGCCACCCACGUCCCCUUUUUGUUUCUGUGGCGUCCUCCAAAUCAGUUUUAAUAUUAGUAGCCUCUGCUCUCAUGCGCUUUGCUCAAUGAGCAGGUGAACAAGUUUCAGGCAGCUGAAAAGGCUUGUCUUUGACGAAUAUAAUGGGGUUUAUAUUCCUUGUCCUUUGUGCUGCUGGUGAUAUCUGGCUUCUGAAGACACUUUUCCAGAACUGCAUCAUCCACUAAACACAUCAAUUUGGAACAAAUGUCUGGCGCCAGCAGACUAGCUCCAGUCUGAAAUAAGUUAUAUGGGUAAAGAAUGUGCUAAUAAUGAGCACAAAUACGUGAGCCCACAGCUUUGCCAGGAACAAACCCCAUCUUGGUAGCUAUAUUAGUCCAUUUUCUGUCCUCACACACCAAGUCAAAUCCACCUUCUUCUGCAACUAGUCUAUUAAACUGGAAUAAAUCCAAGAUCUUUCUUUCUACAUGUGGAAUUUUCAUUGUGCAUCCCUGAAGUUCCCAAAACUUUGCAAUCUGGUAUUUUACGUUUCCAAGUGUCUUGUACUACUUCUUUUAUUAUUGUCCUCUCAUUUGUGUUAUUACCUGGGUAAGAAGCUGCUGGAAUGUAAUAAAUAAGAAAAAUGUGUGGGCAGCUUCUUGAGAGUGGAGAGCACAAACUGUUUUACCUUUGCUUGUAACAUUGAUUGAUAGGCUGGAAGCAAUUGAACCAACUUGCUAUUUUUCAUCGCAUCUUUUUUUCUCACUUCAGCUGCCCAUCUUUAUUUCAUCUUCAUUAGUCUUAGAGUGGCUUGUGCAACUGGCUCUUGAUUUACACAUGCUCACUAGCACAAAGUUUGCAAACCUCUGAAACAAGUGAUUGUAACCAAGCUAGACAUAUCAGCCGUGAAGCUAGUUAAGGUUCUAAAUCAAGAAUUUUAAUGCACUUUUCUGGCAAGAGAUUUUCCUUUUCCUACAUUGAGCAAAUUUUAAUCCCUUGACACUUAAUCCCUUAAAUUUGGCUCUGUGUUAUACUCACAUAGGGCAAAAGAGCAAGGUGGAAGACUGCUGGAACGUAAGUGGAGAAAAACUCCAAAUGACUAUAGUGAAACACUGGUGAGUGUGCAUUUUCAAGCAUACUUAUUGGCAAUGAAAGCAGCAAAGAAGGCAUACUUUGCUACCUCCAUUGCAUCCUCAGUAUGCCAUCCUGCACAACUUUACCGGGUAGCAGGGCCUUUAGCAUAUUGGCCUGAAAGAGGUGGUAGAACAGACAGAGGUUUGCUGUAACUUGUUUGCUAAGCAUUUUGAGAAUAAAAUUGCUUGCAUACAUGGGACCUUGACACUGUUGCUAUAGCAGUUGAAUCUUGAGAGAUGUCCAGAGCACUGUCUAAUUCUGUUUUGUUGGAUGGAUUUCAGCUGAUGAGACUCGGAGGUGUGGACAAGGUGCUUGGACCCUUGCCCCUCCUUGACUCAUAAAAUCCAGCAGGGAAGAGAAAGCUAUCAGGGCCAGGGAGGUGGUCAAUGCCUCUUUACAAGAGGGGGUCAUUCCUGGCUGUUUUAAGGUGGCAGUAAUAAGACUGCUUCUAAAGAAACCAUCCCUAGAUUCUGAGAACCUAAGUAAUUCCCAGCCAGUUACACUGUUAGUGGGUGGUUCUCUAGACUGGAUAGAUGGGAGACUGCCUGCUCUUGAGGGAGUUACACUGCCUUUUAAGGGGGUGCUCUUGGAUCCAUUACUGAGGCCCAGGUGGCCUCGGUGGCUCAGGGUGUCUUUUGUCAGCUUCGGUUGGUGGCCCAGCUAUGCCCCUAUCUGGACAGGGAUAGUGUAACUUCUGUGGCCUACACUCUGGUAACAUCUAGGUUGGAUUUAUUCAAUGCAUUAUGCAUGUGGCUGCCUUUGAAGAUGGUUUGGAAACUUCAGCUGGCCAGACUGCUCACCAGAACAAAAUGAUUUGAGCAUAUAAAACCAAUCCUGGCCCAACUGCACUGGCUGCCAUUAAUAUUACAGGCCGAAUUCAAAGUGUUGGUGUUGACCUAUGAAGCCUUACACAGCUCAGGACCUCAAUGCCUUAAGGACUACCUUUCUCCAUACAAACCAACCUGAACCCUGCACUUGUCAUUUGAGGCUCUUUUCAAUGUCCCUACUCAGAGAAGUUUGGAGGGUGGCAACAUGAGAAUAGGCCUUCUCUAUGGUGGCUCCCCAUCUAUGGAAUGUUCUCCCCAGAGAGGCUCAUCUGGCACCUUCAUUUGAUGUCUUUAGGCACCAAGCAAAACCUUCUUCUUUACCAAGGCCCUCAGCCAUUAAAUAAUCUAUGGCCUGUUAAAUGUUGGGGGGGGGGACUGCUAUUAUGAUUAUUUUAUUAUUAUGUUGUCUAUUAUUAUUCUGUCUGUUAUGUUUUAAUUAUUAUGCUCCAUAGAAUGUUCUUAAUGCUAUAAACUGCCCUGGGAUCAUAUGAUAAGGGGUGGGAUAUUAAUCAAAUAAAUAAUAAAUAACAAUAAGAGAGAGAGUAUAUACACACUAGGUAUGGGGAAGAAAUUCAAUUCACAUUUAAAUAGAAACCUAAAUAAUUCUCACUUUCAAAACAGCAGGGAGAUUAAAACACAACCAUUCUUCAACAUUCACACUUCUCUGAAUUUUGCAGUGCAGUUCUCCAGUCAAGCAGUGUUUUCAAAAAUGCAUAUACUGGAGUAAAGUGUCCAUAAAGGUGUGUAUAGUAGUUAAAAUAACACACAAAUAUAUUAUUUUAUGGGGAAUUACUUUGCAAAAAUCUGUAUAUUAGGCAAAAUUGUAUGCAAGCAUGUUUAUAUUAGGAGAAAUUCACAUUAAAAUGCUGGUAGUUUAAUGAGGAUUUUUUUUAAAAAAAUGACAAGCUGAUCUGAAAAUCUGGAGGGCUUAAUUUAAGUUUGGGGGGGGGGGGAAUGACAAACUGAGAGAAACUAAGAUUGACAAAUUCACUCAUCCCUAAAACACACACACACAUUCCAACACUGCUCAAAGUCUUGCCUUAUAUGGAAGCCAACUCUAAAGUUUUGUGUUGUGAUGCUUAAAUAAUUUUUUCACAUCUUCAGAUUCAGAUGGCUCUCCAAAGAACUAGCCCAUAUCUUCAUUUAAAAAAAAAAACCCACCUGCAUUUCUAUAGUGCUCUAAGGCUUUCAGAAGAAAAUUAAUUGUGUAAAAAAUGUGAAAAAGGAGCCAGUCACAGCCUGUCUCCUUCCAGGGUCCAUCAUCAGCCAGCACCAUUUCACUGCCAGGGAGGGUGAGACACACUCUGUCGGCCAGCUGAAACCAAUUUUAUUAUAUCAUGUUAGCCAACUUCAGCUUUUCUUUCAAAAAGGGCAGGAUAUAAAAAUGAAAAAUAUGAAUUAAACGUGGUGAUUUAAAGAUAGAGUCAGAUAUCCUUCCUGUCCAAGUAGCUGCCUGUAGGGAUGCAACUACAUCAUCUAGAAAGAAGAAUGCAGACCCAGACAUGGCCUUAUGAAUCACAGCAUCUUUUGCCAAAUGAUCUUGUCAUCUUGAUCAAAUCAUUUAACUCUCCCUUGUCCCCAGUUUUAUAUGCACUUCAGUAGGCCCAUCAAUUGGUAUACUUUUAAUGUUGAGAAUUUGCCUGUUGGGUUGAAGAGGUGAAGCUGAAGUGAAUCCUUUAUCCUAUUUGCUGCCCUCCUAGAGCCACUGUUAGCAACCCAAUGACUCACCAGAUUUAUACCGAUAUUUUAGGUCUUAAUUAACUUAUGUAGAACUUACAGGCAGUUAGAUUGUCAAGGAAUAUGAAAGCAGUGCGGAUUCAAAAGGGCAAGUAUUAUAUAUUGUAAUGUGAGGAACAUAUGUUCAGAUGUCUAGUUCCUUCUGUUAUCAAGACCAUGGUGGUUUAGAUAAGCUGUAAGCCAGAAGCAGGUCAUUAACUACCAGACUGAAAUUCUGUGGAAAAGGAUUUUCUCAUGUUCUUCCUUAGAUACUGACAAGCCAGGCAAUGUGCUAUUUCACUGCAAUAACACUGAUCAUGUGAAAAAUAAAUAUAUGCUUGUGUGCAUUCAGUUCUAAUUAAUAUACCCUUUACCAAAUCACUCUUUGGAUGCCUGGUAUCAAGUUCUUCGGGGUUUGUUCCUUAAUGUGUGCUCCAUUUAUCACUUUUUUAAAAAAAUAUACCAAUUUAGUGUCAUAAUUUGAAUGUAUAAUUGAAUUUGCCAGUCUGACAGAUGAAUGAAACUGCUGCAAAACUCAAGUAACUUUUUUCAGUAGGGUUAUGAAGGCAGCCAAUCUGCCAUCAGCGGCAAGCCACGGCUAUCUCUUGGAUUUGUACUGUUUAAAUAUUCGUGCCUUGCAAAUAAUAGAAUAAACACUCCUUCCACCACCACCCCUUUAUUCCCCUCCAAGCCCUCAAGAUAAAUAUUAAUAAUACAAGAGAUUGUGGGAAGAUGAAUAAAGCAUAAUUUGAGCUAAAAGCCUACAGAUGGCAAAGAAAUGAAAAAAGCUAAGUGAGGUGGAAGAGAAAUGUGUAAUUGAGCAACACCAGCGCCAUAUGUCAGAUGCUGCCAUAAAACAAGACAGCAAAAGGAAACCUUUGCCUUUGCUCUGUGGAAAACACCAAAAUGAGUGCUUGGGUGAAUGUCUUUCUAACUCUGAUGCAUUAAGCUCAUCAGGGAGAUCUUACCUGAUCUUGCAUUUGACAAGUUAGUAUCUCUUUUUAUAUAGAGAGUGACAGUCCGUUGGUCUUCUUUUCCUUUCUUGAUAAGGCGUCGAGAGCCAUUCAAAUUUAGCUGUAGCCAAAGUGAUGAAAGUGAAUUAGACUGAAAGCACACACAUCUCCUGUUAGAUAUCCUGGAGAGCUGCUUCCUUCAAAGCCCCCUCAAAAUGUUUGAAUUGUUUCCUCUUGCAUAUUUCUAAGCUGUGUGUCAGAGAGGAUUUCAAAAGACGGGGAAUGAUCUGCCAGUCUGUCUGUCUAGUCUGUGAUUGUGUGCAUUGCUUCCCAAGGAAGAUCAAAGAAAACGCUAGCUUUUCCGGAAAAUAUCACUUUGAAAAAUAAAUAAAUAGAAGAAUGUGAUACUGUGGCCUUAGUUCUGCAUGUAUGAAUAGGGAGAUUUCUCAUGGGCAACCACACAGCUGAAGUUUCAUUAUAAAACUCUGGUGCUGAAGUUCUGCUCACAUACAAUAUUUCUAUUACCAAAUGGAUAAAAUCACUAGUGUUGCUUGAAUUAAGAUCAGAUAAUUUAUGGAGUCAUUCCACUUGACACAGAUGAAGCACAAAGAAAGAGAAAGAGAAUGGUAAGUACAUGUAAUGAUGAUUGCUUAUGAUUGUUUCAUGGCAUGAACCUUUGCCUGGCCCUCAUUUUCUCAAUAAGAAACUAAUGUGAUGCUACAUAUUGGUCAGAGGCUGACUUAAAUGCAUCAAAUUAACUCCAAGUUCCUGUUCCUGUUUGGCAUGCAAGUUUGUCCCUUGAAAGUGUCUGUAGGCUGACUACAGAUUUCUUGUUUACUUCAUAGAUGGGGUGGGUGAAAGUCAAUGCUCAAUCAAUGCUCGGUGGUGGUCUGUGUUGAAGUGAAUUUGGAAGGCCACUUACAGCAAAGCUUUGAAACGGACCAUGGCUUGCACCAGUAGUCUGGCACAGUGGUGGAUGCUAAGCAUCCUAUGGAGUAUGGCUUCCUACUGGAUUUGUUUGAGCAUCAUCACAAAGAAGCCUCCUUUCUCAUUAGGAUGUUUGCACAUUAUGAUGCCACCAUCCCAGCAAUGUACCUGAAGCAUCCAUUAUGCCUGCAUCUUCAUACCAGCUCACCAUGAUUAAAGUAUAACAGUGCAAGGGCUGUGUCCCUGCUUGCUGUACCGGCCAAUCCUCCUUCCCUCCUUGCAGGGUUCCCAACGUCCACUGCUGCUGAAAUUUUAAAUGCAGGCUUCUAGCGCAUGCUUCCCCCAGCAGCAGGGCGGGAGAGGAAAGAGGAAAAUAAGCUUCUUUCUUCCCUUUGUUCCCCCCACUACCAUCACUGCUGCAGGAAGGGAGACAAGAAACUUUUAACGUGCAGGCUUUUACUCUCCCUACAGCAACAGUUGGGGCAGCAGCAAGGAGGGUGAGGUAACACAAUAAGGAAAAUAGCAGUGCGGGGAGUGCAGGAAGGCUUGCAAAGCCUGUCCCACAGUAGUCUUUUCGACAAUGAAGGUUGAAAAGAACAGCACAGGGGGCCUUAGACCUUCUUCUUUCCAUCUCAUGCCACUGCCCCUGCUGAAGAACAUGAGGCCGGCCAGCUGGCACUUCAGGGUGCCUUCCUCCUCCCUCAUCGCUCCUCCUUCUGUUCUUCAUGAUGAUCGGUAGUGGUGGUAGCAGGGGAUUCUGAGGCCAGCUAUAGAGGAGGAAAGUGAGCAACAGCAGCACCAGAUGGCCUAAAGACAUGGAUCUGACAGUCGAGGGCUCCAAGUCUGGCAGGCAGAAGAGCCAGAGGAGCUGACCACAGUUCAUUCUGACUGUUCCUCUGCAGCAAGCCUGGGCUGCCACCUCUCAUCAUGCUGUAGUUCACAGCACCACCUAUUGGCAACCAUGCAAACUACUGCAUGACAACAGUGCAAUGCAAAUGUGUAUUAUAUAGUGUAUUUUAUAACUAAAGUACAGAAUAGUCACCAGCUAAUUAAGCAUAUAUUCACAGUAUCUCUGAAUAUGUCACACAUAAUAAGGACAGUAUGCCUUACACAUUCCACUAAAUGCUUCAACACUGUAAUAUUUUUUUCUCUUUUAUCUCCAUUAAGCAAUUAAAAAGAGAGAUUGCAUUUUAAUUCCUUUAUGUUUAUUUAAUGGUUCUUUCGGAAUAAUUGGUGCAGUUGGUACUACAGAUUAAUGGUAAAGCAGGAGGGAAUGAAAAGGGAUGGCAUAUUUUCAAGUUUAUUUUCAAUGGGAAAAAAGCCUAGGAAGAAAUUAAGGUCUCCCGAAAGCAUACAAGCAGUCAUUUUACUGUUUACUUUUGGAACUUUUUGUCCUAAAUUACAAACUCUAUGGAAGUGAACCAUUAUUAUAUUUCACCAGGUUUAAAGUGACAGUGUGGGAAAAAUGACAUGCCGGGGUGGGGGGAGAGAGAGAGAGAGGAGAGAGAGAGACCGACCAAGUUCAUUUUAUGAGUAAGUGAAGCUGUACUUAGUGUCAGAGCUUCAAUUAACAAGAUCUGGGAAAUAACCACUUCAAGUUAAGAUCUAAAAUGCAUGGCUCAGGCUGAUUUUGCUUCAGUGAAAUUACUUUUAAAAGUGUGUAUGAUCAGACUUUUAACAGGCAGGGAACUGGGCUUAUUUCCAAAUUGCAACUUUAAGAUUUAUUGUAUUUUCACCCUCCCCUCUUUAGCCCAAGCCUUUCUGGCUGGCUGCAAUUAAUACAGAUGUUAUGGUUUUUGAUUUGCAUUGCUACAGCAUAUGAACUCAAUUACUUUUCAUUUGUAGCCCUGAAAAUGGCAUAAACCCCCUUUGUGAUGAAGUUUUUCACUGCAUUGGUAGAAGUUACUGAACCAUGGAACCAGGCAGAUAUCAAGUGAGCCACAGAGAGUGCCUUCCUUUUGUUUCUGUUUAAUAUACUUCGCUUUCCUUAUGUGCUCUGCUAUGGCAAGAGGUCAUUGAGGCAAGUGCUGCAGCUGAUUUUUAAAUGGCUCGUUAUAAGAUUUUCUCAUGGGGAAAAAUAAGAGGAUGUCUAAUUUUUGAAUGCUAUGACAAGGAUAACUAAAUCCAUGCAUAAAAAUGCACAGGUCAAGAUUGUCUUCCCAUAUUAUCUACAUAUCUUUAAGAAAGCUUUGCUAAUGAGUGGCAAUUUUUACUAGCCUGCUUUCCCUCCUCCUGCUCUGCAGAUCUAAUAAGCCCCUUUUUCAAAUGCUAUGGCAAUCCCCUCAGAUUACUUGGUUUCUGAGUUGUAGUCCUAGUAAUCAGUAGUAGUCAGUGAGGAGGGCUGGCACCACCCAUGUGGCCUCACGGUUUACCAGAAGAGAGCGAGAAAGGUGGCAAGGAGGUUGGGACUGUGUUGGCAUAUUGGAGAAACUAAUCCAUCAUUCUUUCUAAUGUACAGUGGUACCUCGGGAUGCAAAUGGGAUCCAUUCUGGAGCCCUGUUCGCAUCCAGAAGCAAAUGUAACUAGCGACAGCACGUCUGCAUGCGCAUGCAUUGCUUUUCGCUGCUUCUGCACAUGCGUGUGAUGUCAUUUUGAGCAUCUGUGCAUGCGCGAGUGGCGAAACCCGGAAGUAAUGCGCUCCAUUACUUCCAGGUUGCCGUGGAGCGCAACUCGAACGUGCUCAACAUGAAGUAUAUUCAACCCAAGGUAUGACUGUACCUGCACAGAGCUAACCUCCCUGCCUCCUCAUUUCUCUACCUCUUGGAACCUCUCAGCAACUCUACUUCUGAGAAGCUAGGUGUGUGGAGGUAGCUGUCCUUACCCACCACUCCUACCGGUAACUUCCAGGAACAAAAACAGUUUCAAGUAGUGCUAUGGCAGCUCAGGACUUCAUGGCCUCCAUGACAGCCAUGGGGUUCACUUGAAGCAGUGAUGGCCAAACUUGGCCCUCCAGCUGUUUUUGAACUACAACUCCCAUCAUCCCUAGCUAACAGGACCAGUGGUCAGGGAUGAUGGGAAUUGUAGUCCCAAAACAGCUGGAGUUUGGCCAUCACUGACUUAAAGCAUCAAAAGUCCUGACUUUAAAUAGUUUUGAAUGCCAUUUUCCUUUUUUUUUCAGGCUUGUGGCUGGUGGCUUAAGUCAUUUUUAUUAUGCUCUAACUGUUAUGUAUGUAAAUUAUGACAAUGAUUUCUAAUGAUUUUGCUUAUGGGGUACUUUAUUUUAUUUUAUUCGUGAACUGUCCUAUGACCAUUUUGGUGAAGAGAGAAAUAUUUUUAAAAUUAUAGAAACCUCCAACUCCCAACAACCCCAGCCUGCAUGGUCAACAAUUAGGUCAGGAAUUAUAGCAGUCGGGAGUCUAACAACGGAUGCUUCCAGAAUAUCACUGUUUUCAAGGAGGAUUCAGUAGCAUGCUGGGGAAUUCAGACUGAAUGAUUAAAGCUGAUCUGGAGCUCUUGUGAAACAAAACUGCUUCCCCAAACUUCAGACUUUUGUGAUAUGGAAAGUAAUGGGGAAAUGCACUGGAAAGGGUGUGAUAACACCUGCUUGAUUCAAUGGCACCUGAUCUCUCUGCAAAGAAAUAAUAGUGAAUGUUCAUUAAAUAGUCAGUGCUGUCUAAUUCCCCCUGCAAACAAAUCAGGAUGGAUGCUCAUUGAACAGGUCAUCUGGAAGUGACCAACAUCUGGACAGAGACACGUUCCCCAUCAUCCCCAAAGUGACAAAAUCUCUUCUGUUUUGAGCCUAAUCAGUGUCCUUUUUGUGUUCAGAAUGAUACAUUUGACUGAAAUUCAUCCAAAGAUAAUUAUUGUAAAAUAUCCUGGUUUGUAACUUUCUGCAAAUCCUUUGACAUUAUUUAAUCUCUGGAUGGGUUGAAACAUAUCAUCAGUUUCUAACACAGUCUCCUUUCCCCUCUAAUACAAGGUUAUUUUCUUUCUUUUCUUUUAGUUAGGGCAGAGGUCAGUUAUCAUUCAGUCCAACUAUAAAUGGACUUGAAGCCUAGCAAAGCAUCCACCACAGUUCAGAUGCAGUUCAAAUCAUGACCUACAGAAGGCUCAUUUUUAACCACCCAGCUAUAAUUUCUCCUGUCAUUCAAAUUGCUCAAACUAUAAAGCACAUGAAUUGUAGGAACUUAAAGUCACAAUAACACUGUUAUACUUAACGUUUAUCUAAUAAUAGUGCCAUUUUUUUGUUGCUGGAGAAAAUGGUUUAGGAGGAAAUAAAGCUGGACAACAGCCUGUGAACACAGCUGCCAAGCAAGGAAGCAAAUCAACUAAUCACAUCAACACUUAAACCAAUGAUAGCUGUUUUACAAUAGAGGGAAAUUGAAUCAGACACAUCAAACACCUGGCACAGUAGGGCACUUGCUAGCCCCAUAGAGAUUUGUGUUCAUGGUGGAAUAAAUUUCACCAUCAUUACUGGCAAGGAUUUAUGAUCAUAGGAUUUAAUUGCUGUUGCUAGGAUUAACAUGGUCUGUACUGACAGAACAUACAUUAGUGGUCUUCUCAACUAUAAGCAACCAGAUCUGCUAGGUAGAAUCACAUGCAUGAGAGUGUUCAGAACAUUUCGCAAGAAUUACCUCAGCAGUUCUUACAACAGGCCUGCUGAUGUGUGGCAUUCCAGGCCAGACACAGCUCACUACCAUACAUGGCUGCUCACCUAGAGCUCAAGGACCCACCUGAUGUUCCCCCCUGCUUUGGACAGUAAAAGCAGCAGUGGGCUGUCAAAUGCUUGGUAGGCCACAAUACCAGACAAAGGCAUCCUUUAGCUGUGUGUCUUACAAGCUGUGCAGCGUGCCUUACAACAUCUCCGUAAGGGAGCCCAGUAUUAUUGCCUCUUUGUUACAGAUAUCAAGGACUGAGAGUGAGAGAUAAACCACCAUGUGGGAUUGUGCCAAGGAAAUAUUUGGACAAAGGCUCCCAUACAGACAAAAGCAUUAGGAGUUGUGCUGGCCACGCUACCUCCUCACACACCAUAGUCUGUGAUUUUGCCACAUCCACCCAUUUACAAGGAAGUGGCUCAGGACGGAACAGAUUUUCAUGAGACUAACAUUUUUAAUUUCAUUUUUUGUUCUCAAAAUAGUAUAUAAUGAAAUAGAAGAAAUGGCAAAGGAGCCCAAGGAAACAUAUGAAGCAAUUAAUGAAGCAAUUCAUGUUGUAUAUUAUAAAAGGAAAAUUAUCAGCAUUAAACCCUAGAACUAAGGACUUUCAUCCACAUUCUGCAGGAAAGAACCAUGGCCCCAUUUUAUUUGUGGAGGCUCCGUAGUGCCUCCCUGCUGCACAAAAUGCACCCAGGGCUAAACUCUGGCAUUCAAGACAGGCACUUGGGCAAAGAUCUGAUGUUCCCUGGUACAUAUUAAAGCUUACAAGGCAGUAAUUGUGUCGAUACAACUGCCUGUAAUGUCAAAGAACCAUGUGUGCAGUGCCAAACGUCACAUUUAUGAUAUUUCUGUGGUGCAUUGACUAGUGCUUGUCUUCUGGAAUGCACCGAAAGCGUGGGAUCAGUAUGCAACUUUGUUCAAUACAACCCUGUUCAACUAUGCUCUGAAUAGAUCAAUUACAUGAUUUAUGAAUGUUACAAAAGCAUGACAUGAACUUACGGUAUAUUAUUAUUGCAUUAUAUCAAUAAGACUGUUCCUUCAAGCUCAACUAGGUGAAGAACCAGACCUUGUGCUCAUUUUAACAAUGGCAUGAACCUUGUGGGAAUUUUCAAUUAUGUAUAGCAGGCAUCCCCAAACUUGGCCCACCAGAUGUUUUGGGACUACAACUCCCAUCAUUCCUAGCUAACAGGACCAGUGGUCAGGGAUGAUGGGAACUGUAGUCCCAAAACAUCUGGAGGGCCGAGUUUGGGGAUGCCUGAUGUAUAGGCUACAUUUCUCAAAAUACUGUGCAUGACAGCAUAACAGCGCAAUCUUAAAAUUCACAAUACCAGCAAAUAAAUGCAGGAGACUGUGUUGAGGGUGAGUUUAGUACUAAGCUACAUUAAAUGUGAACCAUAGGAGGUCAGGUAUAAAGCUGGAGCACUGCUGAUGUUUCUUUUGGGUUUGCAAAACAAAAUGCACAAGUUUAUAGGUGCAAGCACCUGGGAAUUUUCACUCCAAAUGUUAAUCUCCAAACUGCCUUGAUCCAUUUGAAAGAGUAAUAGUGAGAAGGCAAAUGAAAUUCAAUAUAAAGUAAUGUGUAUUGGAGCAAAACACCCCAAAUUCACAGACACAUUGAUGGGAUCUGAGCUGGCUGAUGCUCUCCAGGAAAGUGAUAUUGGAGUUGUGGUAAUGAUCAAUGAAAUCACCAGCUGAAUGAGUAGUGACAGUGGAAAAUGCAAAUUCCAUAUUAGGAAUUAUAUUGGGGGGGGAGAGAGAAUUUAAAGUAAAAUGACCAGAAUCAAAAUGUAGAGAUGUACAUUGGUUCCGUGUGCAGCUCAAAUUACAAAGCAAGUAGAAACAAUCUGGGUAAGGUUUUCAAACACCCAAGUCAGACUGUGUCAUUAACAAGUCAAAUCAACAACUCCCUAAAGUCCCAAGUUACUCUAUAGACUCAGGUGUCCAAAAACACUGCAUUUCCUUUUUUAAGUGAAACCAAACUUACUAGGGAAAUGACCUGAAUUUGAACAGAGAGAGGUAGAGAGGUUGGGUUGGAUCUUUCAUUUGAUGGACAGGCCUAAAGUAGGUUUUAAUCACAGUGAAUUAUUUUUCCAGGAUGCUCCAAUCACAUUGAUUUAGGGGAGAAAAGUUGAAGAAAACAAAAGUGUUUGCUUUUCACUUGGCUGUUGUUUUGCCUGGGACAGUAGGGUGUUUAGAAAGGCAGCAGAUUAUUAGUGUCCUUCCCAAUCACCUGGUUCCUAACAAGCAAUUAAAAUACUUCCAUUGAUUUGUGUUCAUUCCACUCUAUUUAUUUCUCCUCCCAUCCUGGAUCCUGGUUUGUGUUGGUUUGGCUACUAGUUUUCAGACUUUUGGAGAGCUCAGUAUAGGGUAAUUCUAUUUUCCUGUCCCUCAGAUCCAUUAUUGGGCUUUGCCUGUGAUUUAUUUUUCUUCCCAGUUUUAGUUCGCUUGCUAGAAGUUUUAUUCUCUUCCUUUCAUGUUUUAGAGUACCUGUGAUUUCACUGAAUUUUGUUUUUGCUCUCCAAUAAUACAAAUAAUUUUAUUAGAGUUUUCUCCCUUCCACCUCUGGGACUGGUACUUUCCCACCACUCAACUGAACCUGCUUGCCCCUUAAGUUAGUGCCCAGGGGCUCCAUGUCACCAGUUUUUAGACUGAUUGUCCAGAAAACACUAGCAAAGGUUAAUUGAGUUCACUUCCACCCACCCCAAAAUGGCGAAGUUUGCCCUUGUGGGAGAACCACUGCACCUAUCAUUCCAAAUUUGGCAGGCUCCAUCCCCAGAAGGGGUGACCAAUGCAUGCAAAUUACAUCCAAUUCUGGCAGAAAAAUGAAAGCUAGUGACUUUUUUCUUUUAAAAAAUAAAAUAAAGGUUUCCCGUGCAAACUCUCCUGACUGGAUCUGUUUGCAAUUUGGCAGGCUUAGUACACACUGGAGGGGCUCUUUUUGCUGAAAUUUUCAUCUACUUCUGUAGGGAGCAAACAAUUCUUUUUUUUUUUUAAUGAUAUUUAUUAAGGUUUCAAAGAAAAGAAUUACAUAAAUAGAAAGAAAGGAAAAAAAUACAAAAAUAAAAAUAAAAGGAAAAUACAAAAUACAGAAAAAAGAUAAAAAACACUUAAAAAAUAUAUAUCAGUCUUUCCAUGCCUUACAUUCAUUUCCUUGCUUACCUCCUCACACCUCCCUUUUUUGUAUUCCAAUUCAGUUAGUUAAUUCAGCAAUUUCUUUCCCUCUUUGUUUUUAUCUUAAUCCUUUAACUUAAUAUUUUAUAACUUUGGAUUCUCACCUGUUAACAGUCCAUUUUUACAUACACCUUUAUAACAUUGCUGCUUAAACCACUUAAGUUCAUUCUGACAUCGUUCUAACAUUCAUUAAUUUUGCAGUAUUUCUGUAAAUAGUCUUUAAAUUUCUUCCAAUCUUCUUCCACCGACUCUUCUCCCUGGUCUCAGAUUCUGCCAGUCAUUUCCGCCAAUUCCAUGUAGUCCAUCACCUUCAUCUGCCAUUCUUCCAGAGUGGGUAAAUCUUGUGUCUUCCAAUACUUUGCAAUAAGUAUUCUUGCUGCUGUUGUGGCAUACAUAAAGAAAGUUCUGUCCUUCUUUGGCACCGUUUGGCCGACCAUGCCCAGGAGAAAGGCCUCUGGUUUCUUCAGAAAGGUAUAUUUAAAUACCCUUUUCAUUUCAUUAUAAAUCAUCUCCCAGAAAGCCUUAAUCCUUGGGCACGUCCACCAAAGGUGAAAAAUGAACCUUCAGUUUCUUUACAUUUCCAACAUUUAUUAUCGGGCAAAUGAUAGAUUUUUGCAAGCUUGACUGGUGUCAUGUACCACCUGUAUAUCAUUUUCAUAAUAUUCUCUCUUAAGGCAUUACAUGCCGUAAACUUCAUACCUGUGGGGAAGCAAACAAUUCUUAAGGUUAUAGCUGUUUUCAGAUUCCCCACUACAGUCAAUGAGGGAAAACAGAGCUUCAGGUUCAACAGAUCUGAUUUGGAGCAGAUUAACAUGUGGAAUCAGAAAGAGCCUGAGUGAACUGGAAACAGUUCGGGUUGCUUCCUAAUGCUGCAGAUGCUGGGGGGGAAGCAACGUGCCCUGUGUCUGAGCUUCUCAGAGGCAUCUGGCUAGCAAGAUCCUUGAAGUUAGAGUGCUAGAUGCCUUUUGUUUCAGCUUGGAUUCACAGGAUACAUGGAGGCAAGUAGGUGUGCAAAUGGCUUGUUGAACACACAAAGUGUUGUUUAGCAUGUAACAGCAAAACAGAUGGGUGUAACUUGCAAGGCAGCAUGCCAAAUAGUGAUUUAUGCCCAUGACAAGUAUUUGAAAUGAGUUGGUGAUAUGGUGUGGAUGGGGAGAGGAUGGCUUUUGCAUAUACAGGAAGCAGAUAUGAGAUUUUAAACAAAGAUUGGCAGGGAUCUGGUUGCUAGUUUAUGCACAGAAUAUCUGUGAGUAGUGCAUAUCGGAUCUAAUUCAAAUGUCAGAAAAGUGCAUCUUCUUGCAAAUAAAGCUCAUAUUAAAGAUGUACGACAGUGUUAUGCAAAACUUUUGUUGUGUUUGAACUGGCCACAAGUCCUCAUGAUAGAUGUAUGAAAGUUAAUGGUUGCAGAUUAUUGUUCUAGUCUAGAAUGAGUAUUUUCUGUAGCCUUAAGUAGUAUUCAUCAUUCUAACUGUAUAUUGCUAUUAUUGCAGUAUUCCCAAACAUCCCAAGAAGAUAAAAACCCACAACCCUUUGUAUUUAGGGCUAAAAACCCUUGGUUAGAGGCCACACCUUCAGCUACCAUGGAAGUUCUCCCAUUUGAGAUGAACUCAGAUAUACCAAAUGGCUAGAGAAAUUUGUUCAGUCUAAGCAAGUUGUGUUAAGAAUGAAUAUUAGAAAGGGAGGAUAUUGCAGGCUGUCUUCUAAAGCUUUUCAGUAGAUACAGCCGAGAAAUGGAUUUUUGGACAGAUAUCAGCUUCAGAUGAAUCCAUAAUGUACUUUUUUAUACGUAAUGCUCUCAAAACUAAGCAAUAUCACAAUGACUAGUAAUCAUAACUUUUCCUCUCUCUCUCUCUGCAUGAGAAUGAAUUCAAUAGCUGCAUUAAAGUCUCCUCCUGCUACCUUUUAGAAACUGAUGCAUAGAUCUUUUCCACACUGUCCUUAUAAAAUAAAAAGGUUGAGGGCCGAGUCUCUUGAGUAGCUUUAUGGCUUGGCUUGGCAUUUUAGUCUUAUCAUGCAGCUGCACAGAUCAUCUGUCCUCAAAGAUGGUUACAUGACUUGGACAUUACUGUGUGAUGUCCUAUUCCAUUCUCUUAUGUUCUGCCAAUUAGAUUAUCCUGUUUCUCCUUUGAUUCCGCUAAGGCAAUGAAUCCCUGUAAUAAGGUCAUACUUUCUCUUUAGCUUAGACAUUUUAAAAUAUAUUCACACACAUACAUAAGGCAGUGCUCAGCAGAGCCAUCUUCCAUUUACUCAGUCUUAGAAUGCAACUAUGAUAGCACCUUCUCCGGCCAUAACAUUUCUUAAUCAUUUCUUUCUUGCCACUGUUUUCCAUCUAUGACUUAUUGUCUACAGUGUCUAGCAUAUUCUCAGUAUGAUGAUUGAUAGGCCAUUUAGAGAUGGUAGGUGUUGUUGUUGUUGUUUGUUUCAAACAGGGAGGAAUGAAAGGUGCAGGGUUGUGGAAUCUGGGUUCCUUGACUGAAGAGUUUUCCUUUGUUUUGUUUUGUUUUAAAAAAGCAUAUUUGUGAAUCUUCACUUUUUUCGAUUAUGUCUGUUGCCUCUUCUGAGAUUCCCCACCCCACCCCUUGUUUUACUACAUAUUCCUGGCUCCUAGUUCCUUCCUGGAUUAGUAGUGUGCAUAAUUGCAUGCAAUCAGAGUUAUUCAGUAAACAAGAUAAUAUUGUGCCAUGCUUUUCUGGACCAUAUCACUGAAAGAAAUGAGAGUUAGGGCGAUCCUAAGGAUGUUUAAAAGGUAAAGGGUAAAGGGACCCCUGACCAUUAGGUCCAGUCAUGACCAACUCUGGGGCUGCGGUGCUCAUCUCGCUUUACUGGCCGAGGGAGCCGGCGUACAGCUUCCGGGUCAUAUGGCCAGCAUGACUAAGCUGCUUCUGGCGAACCAGAGCAGCGCACAUAAACGCCAUUUACCUUCCCGCCGGAGCGGUACCUAUUUAUCUACUUGCACUUUGAAGUGCUUUCGAACUGCUAGGAUGUUUACUCAGAAGUAAAACCAACUGAAUCAGCUGGAUGCAAGGAAAUUAUGCAGUGGCAGCCUCAGGCAACAGAUUUUGUGUGUCAUAUGAGGGCAGCAAGUUGCUGGUUAAAAAAAUUAUUGUUAUUGUAUUUUUAGUCCUAUGGAGAGCCUAGAGGUGCUCUUUCUCAGAUGCCAGAAUAACUUGGCUGGCCUUAGGUACCUUGACUUGGUGAGAUUUGGACAUUAGCUGGCUGUGCCUUAGGCUAGCUGUGGUUGAAUGAGACAUGGGCUGCUUGCACGCCACACAUUUAAGGUACUUCUAAGUCACAUAACUUUUCUCAAAGAAUCCUGGGAAUUGUAGUUUGCUAAGCAUUCUGGCAAUUGUAGCAAUUGUGGGGGAAUCCAUGUGCUUGGAAUGCAUUGUGUGCAAUGCAUGCUGCCUUACUCCUUUGUAGCAGUGCUUAUAAUUACAGCCUAGGCUAACACUUUCACAAGGAGUACUGAAGGAGAAGCAUUUUUUCAACACUGCUAAAAAUGCUCAGUAAAAAUGGUACGGCUUUGGCUCAGCUAUAUGUAACAUUAUUAACCUUGCUGGGCUUUCUACAUUUAAAACAUAAAUAAGGGCAGGAACAUCUCUAUAAAAGGGAGGGAGGGAACAAAGUGGACAUAGAAACCUAAGUGGAUGUCUGGGCAGAUUAAUUUUUUUUAUUAAAAUAGAGGAAGACGCCAGUAAAUUUGGAGGAAGAGAAUUGAGAUAAUGAAUUGGAUUAAAUCCAAUAGCUAUCCAAUGAUAAGAAAGGGAGGGUGUUACAUUACACCCCAUAAUAUAACCACCAGAGGGCCAAAAAGCCUAAUGCUACUUUCCAGACUCACUCCCAGAUGUAAGAUUGUAACCACUGUAACCCAGGGCCCCCAAUUCCCAUUCCUGGCAGCUGGUCCUGGAGGAUACCAUGGUCAGUGAUAUCAAAAACCAACAAGAGAUCAAGAAGCAGGAGCAAGGUCACACUCCCCUUGUCCUGCUCUACAGAGCAACCAAGGCCAACUCUGUCCCAUCACCAGGCCUAAACUGAGAUUGGAAUGGAUCUAUGUAAUCAGCGCCAGCAAAUAAUGAUUGCAGUUGCCAACCCACCCCCUUUAAAGAAACAUUUUUCCAUUACAAAAAAAAAAAAAACAGCUUAAAAUCCCACUCGCUAAAAGAGACAAUGCCAAUCACUGUAGGCACUCCUGAGCAACAUGAGCCAUUGGUCUGGCAUGAAGUAAGGCAGCAUCCUAUGUUCUGGGGUGCAUUCUGUAGCUCUCAUAAAAUCUCAUUAUAGCUCAGCGCAGUCAGCCAUUCUAAGACUUUUUUUUUUUUUUUGCAUGCAAGCCUGAUAGCAAUUAUUUAGAAGAUAAUUGCAGAGUAAUUAAUAUGUAAAGGUAUUUGAGGUUGUUAGAAGUUAUUCUGAGUUGCUUUAAUGUGGGUUCCAUUAGUGCAAGUUCCUUCCCUCCUGAGAUCGUUCAGGAUAAGAGAACAGUAUCAACCACUUUCCUAAUAUAUUCUCUUAUCACAGUUCCCUAAUAUCAAACUCAGAUGGUAGAGUGCCCAACAGGACCGUAACCAAAAUAGCACACAACCACACCCAUGAAACAAGGGGGAAGUAUCAGCAUGCUCGAGUAACAAAAACUCAAAGGGAAGGGGCGUUAAAGUUCAACGAAGACCGAGCAUGCUCAGUUGCCUCAAGAAGUCAGCAAAAAUUCCAUAGGGUCAAGGCAAUCAAUGGAAAAGAGCAACAAGCUGACAUCUGAUUAAGUUUAUCACCAAUCCCAUGGAGUAUCUUCUUUACCCCUCCUCCCAUACCAUUUUUAUACUAGAAAUUAAAAGUAAGGGGUUGUGGAAAAAAUAGAAGUAAGUGUGCUAAGGGGAAAUUUGAAGGAGGUGAGAGAAGACCAUACAUGUGUACAGGGAGGGAGCUGCAUGUAGAACUCAAACCUUGUUUCUCUUGUUUUUGGUAUCCAUCUGUGUCAGGAAAAGAGUGUAUUUGGGGGUCACGUAGUCACCAACACAAUCUCCACAUGUUAACUUUGUGUUGUGCAAUUAUUUCCUUUAAAAACAAAGCAAAAGAAUGGCCAAAAGCAGUAAAGCUGAAUAAGUCUCAGCAGAGCAUGACUGGUAACAACUAUAGGAUAGGAUUUACAGAACCUUAACUUCAGAACACAAAUGGUAGCCUGAUUCUGCAAAACUUCCAUAUUCAGUAUUCAGAGUAUACCUUUCAAUAUAACAAAUCCUCCUAUGUUAAUUUUAACGUAAGCCCAUACCAAAUACAUGUUUAUGUUGCAGACUGUUCCUUGACCCAUAUUUUGUGAGGAGAACCUGAGCUUACAGGGUUAAACAGCUCAGAGUGUACGCUCUGCCUACUAGUGGGAGGGGGAAACUUCUACGUCAGUUCCGAGAGACUCAAGUCUUUGUUCUGUCUCUCUACUUUCGCUUUUGAGGAGAGAGGACGUGUUUUCGCGAUGCUGUUCGCUGUGAUAGAUAAUGGAUAGCCUGCUGUAAAUAAAGCUGCUUUUAGCUGCUAAGAUCCUGUGUGGACUUUAUUUAAGCACACUGAAGAAUGCACUGGAGUUGUUGUUUUUUGGUUUCCUCUUACCGCUGACGAACUCUGCUAUGCUCAGAUAUGUGGAUUUUGGAAUGCAGAGGCCUGCGAUGGGGGAAGCGUGCCGGACCUCACGCUUAUCUGAGCAAUAAAUCAAUAUUAUCUAACAUAUUUAUGUUUAAUGAAUUACUUCUGCAUUUCUGAGUCAUGAAUGUGUAAACAAACAAUUCCCAUCUACCUGCAAUUUCACAAGAGAAAAUCAACUGCAGGGGGUUGGACUAGACAACCCUUUGUGUCUCCUCCAACUUGGUGCCCUCCAGAUGUUUUGGACUACAGCUCCCAUCAUUCCUGGCCUUGGUCAUUCUGACUGUUGCUGAAGGAAGUUUCAGUCCAGAACAUCUGUAGGACAUCAAGUUGGGGAAGGCUGCCCAAAAUAAAUAUGAUACAUAGUGACCAUGCCCACUGCAAACCAGCUUUUUCAUCAUUGACCUUGCACAACAAUAUAUUUAAAAUCAUUUGAAGCCAAUAUUUUCAAUUAAAAGAAGACCAUAGGGGAAGUCAAGAGUAGAUUCUCUAAAUGUGCCUGGAUUAUUGUUUUUUCAGAAAACUGAGGCCCACAAAUUAUUAUGCCUACAAGCCCAAGGGUUUCAGGCUGAAUAUUACUGAUUUAGUCAGCAGCAGAAGAGACUGUCCCAGCUGAAGCAGUUGGUGUUAAAUAGGUCUCUGAUGUCUGACAGGCUGGGGUCUAAUUUUGACUUCCCUGGAUCCUCCUAGCUGGCACCUUCCCAGACAUCACAUUAUAUUAACAAGGCUCAUAAACUGUCAGAAAUAACUCGUCCACUUAACUGGCUGGAAUGAUGCAGAUUUUAAGGACAUGGCCUUUCCAAGAAUUGUCUGUCUUUAUAAUUUGUCAUCUCCACAGCCAGUAAUAUAGUGUUGCUGGAUUCCUCAGCUAAAAGUCUUUGCCACAUUAAUUUCUCAGGAGACUAUGGCCUCUUUUGACCAUUUACCCUUAGGGUGUCCUCUCACACCAGACUCUGAGGGUGAUGCCCUCCAACAGAACGAUUCCACAUUAUACUUCCUGACAAACAAAUUACUGUCUUGUCAGGUAUAGUAAGUACCAAUGUGAUUCUCCAUUACAUCUUUAUAAGUGUCAGAGGCUGUAGAUUUCUAAAAUAGCUCUUUCUCAAAAGGGCUAACUACACAUUGCAUGGAAAACAGACCCCAUUGGUUUUUUGGUUUCUUUAAAUGAAAAGCAACUUGGCGAGAGGUACAUGGUGAACACAGAGUGACAGGGAGGGGAGCUUAAUCCUUCUUUGCCCACUCUUCAGAAUAAUGCCCAGGAUAUCUUAGGAAUAUCCUUACCUAAAGACCUACCUGAGAAUUGGUGUCUCCCAUUUAUUCUUCAAUUUUAGAAGAAUGCUGGAGAUGCCAUGCUGGUUUUGGUGGCAAUUCUUGAAGGGUAGCCUCUAAAUGUGCCUUGCCUUGUGGCUUCAUUUUGAUUCAGACUACUAUGUUCUUUGUUCUUUCCUCCUUCUCCCUGAACCUUUCAUAUACAGUGUGUCCGUUGCCCUUGUCAUACCACCAUCACAAGCCAAUCACAGUAGUACUCUUAUUAGAAUCACAUCAGGAUCUUAGCCAUCCACCAUGGAGUAGUGUAAUGGUAAGUCUGUCAUGCAGCUCUAGGUUUCUAGGUUUCUAAAACUAUUAACUGUCACCAGAGCUUUGAAGUGCGCUGCUUUUCAUCAUACUAAAAGGGAAUCAGUAAAGGAAUCAAUCAUUGCCAAAAAGUCUUCUUCAUUUCAUUUCAUAUGUUAGGUUUCAUAGUACUUUGUUGUUGUUGUUGUUGUUGUUUAGUCGUUUAGUCGUGUCCGACUCUUCGUGACCCCAUGGACCAGAGCACGCCAGGCAUAGUACUUACUUGAUCACAUUGGUUCAGCUGACCAUAAGUUCAACCACAACCAUGUGGAUAACCAAGAGGGCUUUUUGAGCGUUCUGUGGGGCAGCCUACCAUUGGUAGAGACUCUAGAAAUGGUAGAAGAACAACCCAACCACCACACCCUUCCAGGCACUUUAAAGCAUCCUAUACCUAGCAGAUGCAAUCACCUGAAACCAUUUGGUGAGGUAACAGGUAACAUAUAAAGGAUGCACUUUGGACAAGUGGAAAACUAGAGAAGUAACCAGACUCUAGGGUGGCAGGUACCACAGUCAGUGGCAAUGACUGAAGCCCUGUGUAUGUCACAGUGACCUUGCUUCAAAAAUAGCCCCAUUUUUGUGUUACUCUCAGAAAGCAGCAAAUUAAGUCAAAGGGGGCUGUAUGUCUGUAUAUUUGGUGCUCAUCCCAUCCCUGCUGUCCACGUGUUAACACAUUUAUCAAACCCUAAUUGACAUUAUUCCCUCAUUAACAUCUUUCUCAUAAAAAUUCUUAUUAUGAAAUAACCGGCCUACAAUGCACAUGCCACUAUAUUAAAGGCAUGUAAUGAAUUUGGAUGGAUUUGUAUGUAUGGUUGGUAUGGGUUAAAUUGGUCUUUUGAAUAACUGAAAAUCACAGCUUAGCAUAUCUUACUUCAAAAAACUUUCCUGAAGCAAUUUCAGGACACAUGAAGUCACAGUCACAACACUACUGAGUCAUCUCAGCAUAUGUCAAUUCACUGAUUCAAAAGUCAAUUUAUGUUGAUUUCAAAAAAAGAAAAGAAAAUAAUGACAAGAGUACAAUGGAUUUUUUAAAAAAUGUAGACCAUUAAGGUGUUGCCAUUUUCAGUAAUGCUUUUUCUGGGGGUUUUAAGCCAUCUUUAAAAAAUAUACCACUGAAACUUGAAUCAGGAGAAGAGCUUGUAGGUAACAAUGUGCAAACAAUUCUUUCUUUCCCUACUCUUGUGGCCACAAUGCUAGGCUGUUGGGAUUUUAAGAUGAAAGAAUGCUCAAAUCUAGGCACCCAUCAUUCAUAUGCAAAUCUCUCACCAUAUGUGUUUCCUGCAAGUGAAGGAGUUUGUACUCAGCAGAGAGGAGCUUGUCAGAGCUUGUCUUUGUUUACCAGAAAGCUUUGGGGUGUUCUUUUUUUUUUUUGCUGCCAUCAGAAAUACAUCUCUGCAAACAAUCACCACUGUCCUCAGAAUAUGCAGAUCUUCUAUAUCCACAGGCCCUCAAAUAAGUACCUAGCAUUUAUAAUCAUCAAUUUCAUCUAAUCCAGGUGGUUGCUGGGUGUUUUUUCCUCCUAACGCUAGACAUUUAUUUGGAGGGCUGUGAGCAGUAGGUGGUUUUGUCAGAUCUGCAGUAGCAUAAAGAACCAAUUUUUCUUAUCCUAAUCCUAUAGCUGUCUGGAAAAGGUGACACACAGUGAGACAUAAUGAUAAGAAAAGCUCAAGCUGCCCAAGGCGGUCAGAUACCAAAGCUGGAUGAUUAAACUAUUCUGUAACAUUCCCAGAGUCCCAGGGUGGGGGAGGGAGAUGUGAAUGGUUACUUCUCCAAAACCACCAGAGAAGAACGGACAGAGACAGGCAAUGUCCUCCUUGCCUUCAUAUUCUUCCAUACAUAGAAAGUGGAGCCAGGUGGGUGGGGGAGAACCACCACACUUCUCUGUAAUGUGUUUGGAGAACUAAAGGGCACACAGCCCCUACUUGCUCCAUUUAGCUAAGCUGGGAAUGUGUCAGUAUUAAGCACUGACAGCUCUUACACUCAGCCAGUGCUGGGUAGGGAGAGGAAGGGACAGAUGAGAAAGGAAGAGAAGGAAUGGCAGCAGUUUCAGCAACUUCCCCUCUCAAGCGGCAUCUCAAGCACAGGCCCCAAAAUAAGAGGGAAAGAUGUUGCUGUCCACAUGUAGGGCCAAAUGUUGGGGCAGGAUAUAAGCCCUUCUGGCUCUACCCAUGACUUCACACAUUUCCAGCUGCCCUGUUUGGAUACAGCGACACUUAUCAAGCCAGGCAGGUCAGUGGUUUCAGCACCAUGGAAAGCUCCAGUAAAGCCUGGAUGUGAAUAGAGGCCAUUUGAAUCCCUUCACACAGUCAACCUCUCCCAAGCUCCACACACAGUCCCACCUGAAAAGUGUGAAUCAUUAAAUGACCAACUCCCUGGCCCUAACAUGAGUGCUUCUCCUCUAUUCUGUGACCUCCCACCUAACCUGCUCCCAUGGUUGGGCAGGGAGUGGGUGGUAUUUGACUACUCGUGUCUCAAUUAAGGCAUCCCCAAGGGCCCUGGCUCGGGUUCCACAGUAUCCAGAAUCUGUUCCAGUUUCCCAGCCAGUAGUACAGCAGCCCCAGACCUGCUCAGCUUAUUCUGAGAUUGACUCCCCAAAUAUCCAUGUGUUGAUAUGGAUAUCUUCAAAGAAGCUGCUUUUGUGCAGGGUACUGGUUAAAUUGAAUCAUUCAUGCAGACAGCUAUACACACAAAGCCUUUCCAUUUGCAGAUAUCUGCAUCAACCCAUGAGCAUCAGGUGCAGGACCAAGACCUGUGGUUUAGACCUAAGCUUGGAUGCUGGAGGCAACAUCCCAAAAGGAAAACAGGGCCAGCUGUAGUAUUGCCAGUGACUUUAGGGAAGAGGGCAAGUACAGACUCCUCUGUAGGUUUUAAAUACAAACAUAAAUGAAAAUGUGUCAGCAGAGGAUAUCUCUAACAUCCUGUAGACUGAGUACCAUUACCUCAUCUAACAGUGAUCUGUGACAUUAACUCUGUUCUCACAUUUGAAAGUCACAUUGAAAAUGUUGAGGAGGAAGCAGAGCUAUUGUCCCUGACCUCCAUUCAUUCAGCUGAAUAUGAGAAUGUUGUUGUAUGCAUGCUUGGGAUCUCUGACCUUGUGCACACUCUCUACUGUAUUUCAUAACUUCCACUUAACAUUCAGGGGACAGAGUCACUAGACGCAAUCCCCCUCACCCAUCCAUGUGCUGAGGGUGGGUUUGAAGCUCUAGGAUAAUGAUAGAAAACAAUCGUUAUUGCAUUGUGCCUUCCAAAUCCCCUUAACACUGAUCUAAUUCUACUCAUAUUAAUAGAAUAAUAUCUUGUCUCUUUUGUUUUAGUACUGAAAAAAUCAGUAUAGUGUGUUUUCUCCAUGGUAACCCAUUAGUCCCAAAAAUGAAAAUUUUGCAUAAUUCAGAAUUCAGCAUAUUUCCAUCAUUAUAAACUCUGCUUUUGAAUAAAGGAUUAUUACCCCUACAUGACAAAGCUUGCCUUUUUUAUUUGAAAAAAAUUAUGUAUGAAUGAAUGAAGUUGAUUUAAAAAUUGCUAAAUUUUAUUGAAACUUGUUUAUCAGGUAUUGUCAUAUACUACAUGUCAGCUGUCAAUUACUCUGCAUGUCAAAUACAGUCAAGCACUGACUGCUACCUGGCAGAUAUUGUCAAAACUACUGCUUCAUGCUGGUGUCCAAUACUGUUAAAUGUUCAUUGUUCUGCGUCAGAGUACCAACAGUAGCUGUGUAUUAGAUACUGUAACAUGUUGGCAUAAGAACAUAAGAAGCCUGCUGGGUCAGGCCACAAUGGCCCAUCUAGUAAAGCUUCCUGUUCUCACAGUUGCAAACCAGGUGGACACGUGGGAAGUCCUAUAUUAUGUUGCAAAUACAGGUACAGAAUAACGAAUGUUCAGAGGAUAUUUGGAAACUGCCUGCCAUCAUUUUCAGAGGACUUAUUUCAGUUCUGAUUUCUCAUAGAACAGGGAGUGUCCUGAGGAAUAGCUCAGAUGGUAAGAGCAUGGGACUCUUAAUCUCUGGGUCAUUGGUUUGAGCUGGUUGUAGUGUUGGGCACUACAGGCAGUUAGACUAGGUGAUCCAUUCCAACUCUACAAUUCUUUGAUUCUAUAUAUUUAAUGGUUUUAAGGAUGGGUUGAUUUAUGUUUUCUUGUGUCUUGCAUUGUUGUAAGCUUACUUGUGGGCCCUUCGAGGCAGGGUAUAAACAUUAUUGAAAACCACACAUUUUAUAAAGAUGGACGAGUAGUGCUGAGGUGACUGCUUGCAGAGAUUGUUGUGCUCUUCCAUGUCUUCCCAAGCAUGUCAUUAUGUGAGUUUUCAAAAGAAGCAGCAUCACUAUGCUUUUGCUAGACUAACAAGCAGAUGAUGAGAAACAGAAAAACUAUCACCAUGCCCUGCCUUACUGUACACUUCAAUACAAAGCCAUAGAAUAGUUUUGUGGUGCUUUUUAGUUUGGUGUUUUAUUUUUGGUUGGUCUUCUUUUUUUCCUUGAAGUGGAAUCAAAGAAUGGUUAUUAAAGGAGAUAAACAUUAUUCAUCUUCACAGAAAGCAAAAGCCUGUUUCUGCUUCCAGAUUCUCCACGUCAUUCAUCUUCAUUUUCACAGCUUCCUCUUCCUCGCCUCCUUCAUCUAACCUCCGUGGUCUGUUCAGCUUCUCUUUUCUUCCUUGCCCCAAUACUUUGGGCUUGACUGUCUGGCUUAAUAAAGUUACUUCCUUUUGAUGAUCAAUCUACUGUUUGAGUAUUAAAAGGAAAUAAGAGCAUAUAUAAGAAUUAUGUGCUUUCAUAGAGAGUCUCUCCCUAAAUCCAACGGUGUUCUCAGUGUAUGAAAACAAUUUGUCUCCAUAAAGAGGGUCAGGGGAAGUAGUGAGACAGUAUUUUGAUAAAUAUUGAUUUUGCUUUAGUAUGAUCACAGCACUUGAUGACCUUGGGAACUCCAGAAGUAUACUCAAACUAGAGUCAAGAAAACUUUUAGCUUCCAAAACACUGUAAGAUUAGAUGGUUUAAGAAACAUUAUUUCAGAUUUGCAUAAUCCUCUAUUAGUUUAUCGUGUAAUGUUUAUAUGGCAGAAAUUUAAAUGGGACAGAAUAUCAAUUUCUAGUUAUUGCAUUUGCUUUUUUCUUUGCGUGUUCCCUCCACACAAUUGUAAUCAUAUGGAGAGGAAGGAACUGUGACAACUGGCCCCACCUGUACUGUCACAUCCCAAUGUGUUUGAGGGGGGAUGUCUGAAGAGGAACCUCUUGAAUAUACAUAGGCUCCCCCACUAUAUGGUCUAGAACUCUAUAAUUAUGUGGAAUGAGUGCCUGAAGAGGGUUUUCGUGAAAAUGGCCCAUCCUCAUCAAACCCUUGCCAUUUGAAUACUGAACACUGUCCAUCUAUAUUAGGUGGGGGGAGCAUGUAUACUCACAGUGGGUCAAUGUGUUAAUUGCAAAGUGGGCUCUAGUCCAUGAAAGUUUAUACCAGAAAUCAUCAUACUUUUAGGCCCAUGGACUUACAAGGAUUUUUUUAGUGACUGCUGUACCUGCGACCAGCACCCCUCUGAUCACUUCUCUCCUGCCUCACCCAGAUCAGAGACAAAAAGGGGGAAAGUACACACACAAAGUUUGUUUUCCAGAGGAUCUGGAUAGGAGUUGAAUCCAGCAGAAUUAAGAUGAGCCUUGAAAAGCAGAUAGGUUGUAAAGGGGAAGGGGAAAGGAGUCUCUGGUUCAUAGUCUGAGUUGUUUUAAGGGAAUGGAUGCCAUAGGGCACUUCUUGAACUGUUUCUGGGAGACUUUUCACACAUUUAAGGUGUGCAUCCAGUAUACAAGUAUACAGUAAACCUAUAAAUGAUCCACAAAUGGGGCAACAAUCAUGUGUUUGCAAAGAGAAGUAUCAUACAUCAUAUUAUAUCACACAAGUAUCCCCAUCAAGUAGCUAAGAUUAGCUAAAACUCUUUGUAAAGUGUGUGUGUGUGUGUGUGUGUGUGUGUGUAUGCAUGUAUGUAUGCAUGUAUGUAUUCAGUGGCGUAGCGUGGGUUGUCAGCACCCGGGGCAAGGCAAGUAAUUUGCGCCCCCUAACCCGUGGAUUUGCGCACCCUAAUCCUAACCCCCAGAUGUUGUGCCCGGUACGGCCGGCCCCCCUGCACCCCCCACACUACGCCACUGCUCUAGGCAGCGAUGCUUCCACCCCCUGGAAACAGCAGGAAGGGAGAGUGCUCUUGUGCCCCGGUCCUGCUUCUCAUUGACGCGUCUGCUUGGCCACUCUAGAUGGGCCCUUGUGGCCUUGAUCCAGUAGCCGGGUCCUUCUUCGGAAAGAGCGAGCGCCUCCGAAGCAUGUGCAGAGCGCCUUCCUCUGCCCCCGCCACGCGGAGCUCAGCCUGGGCGUGGGCAGGCCCUUUGCGUCACACGCGCUUGGCAAUCCCCGGCACCUCUCCUCUCCUCUCUCUCUCCCUGGAGAAAUGAAGCAGUGACCCGACAAGGAGUAGCGAAGGAUGGGCGUGUUUCGUCCCUGAUCCGGAUGAGAUCAAGGCGCCGGCAACGGGAAGGAGGCGGGGGAGAAGCAGGAGCAGGCCAGCCAGGGAUCUCUCCCAUCGCCGCUGGAGGGGUCAUGGAGGCACUGAGCCUGGGAGGCGGGUAGCCAGCCAGGGCGCACCUACCCAACCUCGCCGCGCCCAGGCGCGCUGCUCUCUCCAGCUUCCUCCCGGCCGGGCCAGCGGCUCCACCUCUUCCUUUGCCUCUUUGAGCCGCUUAAUUCCCAGCAAGCGAUUAGCAGGCUCGGAUCGGAUCCUGCGGCAGGCGGCGCCUCCACCUCCUCCUCCUCCCGGCUUUGCUGCUGCUGCUGCGUGGCUCUUUUCCCUCCACCGACGGCGCGCUGCGCCUUGGAGAGGUUCCCGCUUCCUCGAGGGGGGCCGGCCAAACGGAGACGACGACCCCCCACCCCAAACAAGCCUCGAUUGCUUGUCCCUUCCCUCUGGACUCAUGCCCCCCCCCGAUGUUGCGCCCGGUGCGGCCGGCACCCCUGGCACCCCCCACGCUACGCCACUGUAUGUAUUAGAAAAUGAGAAAUUGUUCAUUGCCUCUGAAUGGUUUGUGAUACCUCUGGACCAGGCUGCAAUCCUAACCCCAACUCAUCUGGAAGAAAGCCCCACUGGAUUCAAGAAGACUUGUAUUUGAGUACACAUGGUUAGGUUUUUAUUUUACUUGAUCUCCAUAACAUCUGAAUUCUCUCAAAGCUGGGGAGCUAUGGAUUGACUCUAGGCAGUAUGCCUUCUUCCAGCUCUUCUAAUCAUUGCAUUCUCCACAAAAGGAGCAGAGGUUUCAGGAAAGUUCUCAAAGGGCCGAAGUGUUUCCAUGGCAGCAUUUCUAUCUUUAGGGUAAUUCUCUUAAGGCAGAGAUAGGGUCCUUCUCUCCAUCAUCCCCCAAAGACUCAUUAUCUCCUUUCUAAGGUGACUUUUUUAAUAAUAAUAAUAAUAAUUUAUUACGGCCGUAGGCCCAUACAGGUGACUUUUUUAAAAAUCAGACUCAGAACCUAAAAGGUAACUCAAGGCUGGUUGCAUAAUACACAUACACACAAAAGUUGAGGUCUGUUUUCCUGAAAUACACUUCCUCAUUGAAAACACUAUAAAUCUGGUUGUAUCAGAUUCACACACACACAGCUGACUUGUCAUUGCUUCUCCUUUCUAUGCAUAAACACUAUUGGGAAGCAACUGAAUGCCUAUCCCUAUGUGUGAACUAAUAACCAAUUAUUAGAGAAAACAGAGUUGCAGGUGUGAACUUUAACCAAAACUUGAUUUAAAAAUCAAGUUUAAAUACUGGGGACACCUGUACAGAAGUGGUUUGCUGGGUGGGGCAGAACCCCUAUGCUAGCUCCCAGCAGGUGGUUCAGUGUUGCUUACCAGGAGGGAGGGACAAUAUAGCAAGGAGGUCAGUGUGGUGCAAAUGCACCAGCAGAACCAACCCAGCACACCUGUCAUGCAUUUGAACCAGACUAACCUCCCUGCUACCUUGUGUCUCUCAAUCAACAAUGGUGAUCCACCUGCCAUGAAGCUAGUGGAGUGACUCCACCUCACUCAGUGAGCCACUUCUGGGUUUGUUUCAUGAUUCUGCGUAUCCAAGCAGAAGCCCACGUCCGUGUGAACAUAGGAGGAUGUUCACUGGUAAAAAAAUGUAAGAGUGAAAUUUAAUGAAAAUUCUCUUAAUCUUUCACUUGCUGCUUACCACUUGUUUGGAGCUUCUUCUUCCUUUGAACUCCAACUUCAAUAUGAUUUCUGCUUAAACGGGUUCUUUGUAAGACACGAGUUGCUAAAUAUUUGGGCUUGGUUGCCUAAAUAAUGAGAAACUGUAGUCAGCAUGACACAUACACCACAACCCUAGACCCACUGCAACCACACAUGCAUGCAUGUACACAUGACAACCACACAUACAUGCACACACUCAAUUUCCCCCUUCUGCUUGAAAAAUGUGUGUUUGCUCCCCGCCCCCAGGUUGAUCUUCUUGGAGACUGCAGCUGGGGAGGCAAGAGUUAACCUGCACUCAGCAAACUGCAAGGAAGAUCACACACAGCCUAUGCAACAACUACAUCAUUAGAGAACUUUCCAGAGAGGGGUGGGGUCACAGCCAGAAAGAUAAAAGUCAAGCCUUAUUCCCCAGUUGCAACCCUCAAAAUUGUUAUUAGGCUUCAUUUUUAGUUUUAGUUUUGUAAUAAAAAAAACCUCCCAUCUUACAUUAGCCCUAAUAUUUAGAGAAGAGAACGCAUUCUAGUUGAAAAAGGUAUGUCGUUAAUCAGUAAGAUUGCCUCCUGAAAUUUAUUUAAUGAGUUUUUGCAAUACUUAAGGGGAUGCAACUGGAAACAAUUAAAAGAUCAGUGGUAUGUACAAUUUGUGCUACAGUACAUUUGCUAUGCGGUAUGUGGGCGAAGGUUAGUUAAGAAGAUAUUAACUUUUGACAUUUUAGCAACAGGCGUGUGGCAAACUCUGUUAAUAAGAACAUCCUCAUCCCUGUAAUUUUAGACCACUUUGGGGACUGUUGAGCUGUAAGUGUGAUCCAUUGAUUUGCAAAAAUAAAUCAAAGAGCCAGGACUUGCACAUGUGUGGGUUAAACAGCCCUUCAACUUUUGGUCACAUUAAGUAAAGGCUAUAAUAGCUCAAUGAGGCAAAGACGGCCUGCUGACAUCACACAAGGUUUCACUGUUCUUUGCUACAGUGCAUGUUAGCUCCUGCAGUGAAUUCUCAUCCCUGCUAGUGUGAAAGCCUCCCAGCAGAGCCUCAUGACAGAUGUGAAAUAAAUGUGGGAUUUAGCUCUGAUGUAACAUAGAAUUGUAGGUAAGAUGCAACCACGACUAUAAAUGCUAUUUUUUAAGGACAAUGUCCCACAUAUCAGCAGGUCUGUGUUUUUGGACUUGUAUAAAUGAGAUGGGCACUACCUGAAAGGGAAGAUUAUAGUAUCUGAGAAACCUGCAGCUUUUCACCUGGAAGCUAACCCCCCCUCCGAAAAAAAGGUUCAUUUUUUCAUGGGAAGUAGUGCCAUUUUCUUUUUUUGAGGGAGUCAUUUGGGUCUUUACAAAGAGUAGCACCUGUGGGAAGAUUUGGAUUGCGGCCAAGGGGAUCAAAACUCUGGCCAUAUGCCUUGGGAGAGGGUGAGUCUGCAGUAGGAAACAGAACAGGGGAAGUGUGUGUGUUUUAAAAAAAUAUAUACUUGCCUGCUAUCCAUGUUUGUUAUUUACUUUCAAUGUCAGGAAUCCAAACAGAUCACAGAGCCUUGUGCAUUCCCUUUAAGCCACCCUGCCAAUAUCAUCAUGCUGCUAUACAAAUACGUGAUACUAUAGAGUUGUAAAAAGUUUAGACAGAAUGCUCAAGGGGGUUGAUCAACUGCAGUGAAGCAGAGCACCUCCGUAGCAACUCCCACAAGGUGAAGCCACUUCUGCUAUUGAAGCUCAUCUACGGAGCAUUGUGAGAUAAGCUGCAGGCAGGAAGGGUUUGGGAUUCCCAUCCAUGUGCCCCUUUUGUUCUAAAAAUUGUCCCUUGAUGUAUACAUGAUUGGACAGAGCUGGGCAUGAACAAAGGGGUUUGCUGUCUUCACAUCUAAACUGGCCCUCAGUUUUGACCUAUUUUUAAAGCCACAUUUCCAUACCUGUUCCCACCAUCUGGUGGGCAUAUUGAUAGUGAACAAUAAUUACUUAAUGGCAAUGUUGUGUCUGUAAUCAGAUUGGCAUGAAGAGAUCUCUGAAAGUAGGUUUUAUCUUAGCAAGACAGCCUACUGUAACACAAAUGUACUAUUGCAUUUCAUGCCUCAGAAGUGAUUGAAUCAAUAAUUGCAUCAUCCAAGAACUGGAAUAAAUUAUUCAUGCUAGCCAUUUUGGAUAUUAACAUACAAGGCAGGUGGAGACCUUGUGUAAUCCUGAUCCUUGUUUAGAUGCGUAUUAUCUUAAAGUUGUGUACUCUGGCUAUAAAUGAACUUACAUACUGUACAGAGUUUGUGAAAAUGUGACUCUUCAUUUUAGUUUUUUACUAUAUUUCAUUCCCAUUCUUUUCUUUACUGAUAUCUUUACCUGUCAGAUGUGAUCAUACACCUUUUAACACACUUUUAUUCGCAUAGUGUUUAGCAUGGGAAUUGUGGUAAAUUUCAGGUCUGCUAAGUGCUCACUGUAUUAGCUGAAGCCAGGUAAUAUAAUAAAUAAAUGUUUCCUAAAACUGUACAGCAGAAUUUCUCACAUUUUUCAGCCUAGUGAGCUUGGGGAUGUCUCCCACCACUUUUCACUGCACAACUGUGCUAAUUUAGCACUCUUGCCAAUGGGUAUGUUAGAAAGAUGUGAACAUUUUCCGCACAAUGGCCAAAAGGUCAGAAAGUGCCAUUGCUUUGCCGACCAGCCUCUAUACACCCAUCUAGGGCUGAUCACCAGCUGAGAAAUGGCAAUGAAGAGGAUGCUUCAGUGAGCAAUUAUAAUUGGAUCUAUUUUGAGGCAUGCUUGACAAGCUGUGCUGAGCCACAGCAGUGAGUCUCCUUAUGCUGGUUGGGAAGUACUGUUCUACAGAACUCAGCUGGUGACUAUGUUCAAAAUGUGACUCUGCUAUCAUACACCAUUAAAAUGAUCAGCCCUAUCUAGUUGCUGCAAUAUCCAUGCAGGGCUCCAAAAGAGCAGGGAUGUCCCAUCCUGAUGUGAGGAACAGCUUGGUCUGCACAUCCACCUUGCUCAUAUGAAGUCUUCCAAGCAUCAAAGAGAAUAGAAGCUCUGUUUGUAGAGCACGCCAUUUUAACACUUAGGCCCUAUUGAGCUUUGAAUCGUUGUCAGCAUUAUAACGUGUUGAAGAAAACAUAUCCUGUAGUACUAGUUUUAGUAGAAAUAAAUGCAGGUGCAGAGAACCAAGUGAUAGGAAGUUCUUCUGAUCUCAGUAAUAUCAAAGGAAAAAUCAAAAUGGCCAUUGAUGUGUAAGGAACAAUUUUCCCUGAUGCAAUAUGUGAAGCAGAAUUAUAUAAAUUCUACCAAAUUUUGUUGGGUGAGAAAACAGCAGCUCUUAAUUUCACCCCUUAUUUUUUACCAGCACUUGGGAAAUGUUUGCACAUAGCCUUGGUUGUCCAUCUACACAAGGAACCUAGGAGUGAACCCUGCGGUAGUGCAUCUCCCACUCUGUGUAUACCCUGUAAGAACAAGGGGAGGUCAUGUGACACUGCAAAUAGGGCCUGUGCACAUAGGCCUAGUAUCAUGAUGUUGUAUACACUAGGGAGGAGAUUGUGAGCCUGAAGGUUUUUCUCACACUCCACUGCAUUGAUAGCCUACAAUAAUAAUCAUAAUAAUCAUAAUAAUUUAUACUCCGCCCAUCUGGCUGGGUCAGAUCAUGUGCAAGACAGCCAACAUGGUGCUCUCCAGAAGUUUGGACUCCAGCUCCCAUCAUCUCCAGCCUAUAGUCAGGAAUGAUGGGGACUGGAGUCCCCAGCAACUGGAAGACACCAGGUUGACUACCUCCCUUUGGCACGAUUCCCAAAGGGAAUGUGCUGGAGCAACUGUCACAGGCUUCUACUGGAAAUUCAUUGCGAUACUACUAAUGAUGAGCCACACAGCCCAAUUUCUUCACCAUUUGGAUAACUUCAAGAUUUUAGAUGUUGCUUUUUUAUUCUUCAGUGAACAUAUAUUCCUCCACUAUAGAACCUAAUGAAUAUUAUGUAUGUCACACCUCUGCUCAAUAAUCUGCAGUGAUUGCUAAUUUGUUUCUGGGCAGUUUCAAAGUUUUACUGUUAGUAUAUCCAGCUUAAGACAAGCUUACUUGCCCCAUACAUACCUAGCCAACUGCUUCUGCCUGUGGAUCUUGCACAUGGUGAAGUGCCAUAUGAUGUUUGUUCUGCAUCUGUUGGUAAUUUAUUGUGGCAGCAUCUUCUUUGUUUCAGCUAGCCUAUUCAUGCACAAAAUUUUGUUAUGUAUACUUGUUUUUAAUGUUUGCCGAUUUUAUGUUUACUGUUGAUAAUUGUUGUAUGUAUACUUCUUAGAGGGUUCUUUUAAUUAAGUGGUUUAUAGUUCUUUCUUAAACAAACAUUUUUAAGUAUUCAAAGCAAUUCACACUCUUCGUUUCGGUAACCCUAUUAUCAGCAUUUUACAAAUGGCAGAGGGGCUGACACUGCUGAGUUGGGUGGCUGGCCCAAGACUUUGCUCUUUCAGCAGUAUUGUUUUUCCUUUGCCACUUUAAUGUUUUCUUGUGGGGGCAGUUUUUAAGAUUCUUUGGCAGCUUGGCAUUUCCUCCACCCCUCCUCUUUUAUGGACUAUGCAGCCAUGCAGAUAUUUAUAAAAAGAUGGGGCAGAUCUCAACACAACAAGGCCAUUCACUCAUUCAUUAUAUGCAUGUAGAUAUGCUACUAUUGUCUCCAGAUUCAGGCUCACAGGAGUGUCGUGGAUAGUAUAAUAAUGUUAGGGUGCAUUUUUUAGAAUGUGAAAAAGCCUUCACUGGGAAAGUGGGAGGUAUUAUUGUAUACUGAUUUUCUAUAUGAAUUUCAUUUCUGAGUGAAAGGGGGAAAAUGAGUGAAUUCUGAAAAGAAUUUUCCAGCAUCGCAGUACACCAAUGCAGCCAUUAUGGAUAUUUAUCACUGCGGCAAACGUAUAAUUAUGUUAAAGUAUUGCAAUUUUCAUAGCAAAAAUAAAUAAAUAAAUGCAGGGAAGAUUGUUUUUGUCUUAUAAGUGCACACCAUUGUUGAGAAUUCCAGCCACUUUUACUGUAUAUCUAAUUCUGUUCCCUUUUGUUUAAGCUGGCAGGAUUCAUCUAUGCCUGUUAUGUUGUGAAAUGUAUCACCGAAGAAGAGG
rnacentral:lncRNA from 1 species